rnacentral:lncRNA from 1 species
CCACAAACACGAUGCACAACCGCUAAGAAAGGAAAGCUUCCACAAGGUGAUACUACACCAUCACUCUUCAAGCAAGGUAACAUUUUAAGGUACUUGACUAUCACUUUUAUAAGCUUCUCCUUGGUUCUGGCGUUCAUAUAAAUAAAAGAGACAAACAUGUAUGAUUUACAACUCUAGGUUAACCAACCCAACUGAUUCAACAUGUUUAGUCCUUUAAUCCUUGUUCUUAGUACUACCUCCAUGAUCCCACAUGAGCUAAACUGUUGCACAUUUAAUCUUUGGGAAGAUAUAAAGAAAAAGGCAUAUAUAUAUAGAUAGAUUAUCUUUCCAUUAGGUUGAGCGAUCUGAUCCAGCAAGUGUUUUAAAUGCUACACUCAUGAACUUAUCAUUCAUCAACUUUGUCUUGCUCACUAUGCUUAGGGUUAGAGAAGAACAAAUACACUUUUGGUUCUGUUGGUGUUUUCCACCAACAGGACUUAUGCACUUGAUCUCUGCCUUGUCUCUAUGAGCAGGUACACUUCGAGCAAAACAUGGAGGAGUUUUAUAACUCUCAGACUCUACCAAGUGAAGGACUUGGAUCUACGAGCACAAACACACUGAGCAAGAUACUGUCAACGCCGCACUUCGAACUGUUGGGCAAAGGAAGAGGUGCAGACGUCAAGGUCCGCACCUGAAUCAAAUGACACAGAACACAGUGAGAAGUCUUGUUAAGAAGACUUAAAACAUUGAACCCUCGCCGAAAGGUAAGAUCGGUAGUUAUCCAUAUUUAUCCUUUCUGCAUUCCCUUUUCCCUUUAAUUAUUUAUUUUCCUUAAAUAGAUUAUUAGUUAAAUCAUGCUAUCUUGAAAAGAAAAUAAAAAUGUUAAAAAAUACUAAGCCCCAUGUGCGUAUACGAGUGGCAUAAAACCCAUAAGUACCUUCACUGUGGUGGCAUAAAAAUAAAAUAAAUAUUUCUUUUCUGCUUUAUAAAAUAAAAAUAUAAAAAUAGGGAGUAAUAUUUAUUGAGGAAGCUCAACAUGAUGAAGGCUAGAUAUUUAUGCUAACACUUAAUUAGUUCCACAAGCUUUGUUGUCUAUUUGAGCUCCACAGAAUUUAAGAAUCAAGAAGACUAGCAGACGGAGGACAUUCUAAUCGCUGUCAGAAUGCUGCUGACUUUCAAGUACACCUCUGCCACCUGCUAGCUACAUCAAGAGAAAUUACGUCAAAAUUCAGCUUGGGGGAGAGCACCUCCAUUUAUCUCGCUAAGUAUUUCUACCUAUCUUUAUACUUAUAUUAUGUUAGAAUAUUAAAAUACAAAACUAUGAAAAAACAAAUAAAGAUUUUGUGCUUAUAUAUAUAUCUUUUGCUUAGUGUGUUUAAUAAAUAAAUAAAGUGGCUAUGCUAAUCUGAAUCUUAAUAAUGAAACUCUAGCAUGGAUAUGAUGAAUAGUUGCUCUGCCUAAUUUGCAAAUUUGAAGUUCUCUCUCAAGUUUAGACAUAACUGUUAUAAUUUAAAGUUUACUCUAGAUCUAAAUUUGUGGGAUGAAAAUUUGAUGUAAAAUCUAAGUUGUUAACGGAUAUGAUAUGAGAAGGUUGAGCUGUUGUUUAUCUGUUCCUAGAGAUGCUAGAAUUCUAGAGAAUUUUAUCUUUGAAAAAUCUUUAAAAUAUUGCAUGAUGAGUUCCUGUAUGAUGAGAGUUUAAAUUCCUACCACAACCAUAUAUACAUGCUUGCUAGACUUUGAGCCACAUAUUUACUAUUUACUACAUAUGAGCAUUGAGUAUGGUCAAGCUGUGUAGACCCUUAGGAGCUUGUCAUGUGGUUAAAUCAAGAUUCACUUGCACGUUCACUCAUAUAUGCUACUUCUACUCCGGAAGUACCAUCCACAUAUAUCCAUCCAUGUCCAUCUCCAGAACCACCCAAAAAUAUUCUACUCCUAAUCUGGGAGAGAAUAGCCAAAAAUAUUUCUGUUUUCCCUUGUGAAAUAAAUGCUCAAGUUAUCUUGCUACUACCACUUGCUAUAUUAUCUCAAAAGAUGAGUGCUCUGAAAAGAAAAAAAAGAGAGAAAAGAGAAGAAAAAAAUAAAAUAAAAUAAAAUAAAAACGAGGAAAUAAAAAGGGGCAAGUGCCCGGAACCUCGAAAGAAAGAAAAAGUGAGACGAGAGGUAAAAAUGGACGAGCGUCCGACAGUAGAAUUAGGGGUACAAGAGACCCACCUGAGAGGAAAGAAAAAGAAGAGCAUCUCAUUCUCCUCAUAAAGUUUCAAAAAGCAAGGAAGGUAUGUAUCCCCUCAAAAGAGCAAAAGUAGAAUUAGACUUUCACCAUUGUUAUCACCACCAUCACCAUACACCAUUCAUUCACCACACAUGCACAUCUUGAUUUGGCUUAUUGAUUUGUUUCUUUGGAUUCAUGGUUUGACUAUACAAUAAAUGUCUUGUAAGUAUGUAUACUUUAUCUCCCACCUAUGAGCUCCAGAUAUUAAAGCCUUAUUAGAGUAGGGUGAGAGAGAAGGCAAUGUCACUAUGACUUAUACCACAAAUACCAUAUAUCUUGAGAGAAGGCAUAUACCAUCACUGCCUUGGUAAGGAUCCAGAAAUACCACAAAAGAGAGAUUUAGAGAGUCAUACAAGGAAUCUCUGAGUUUUAUUUGAAAAUCUGCAAAAACUCCAGAGCUAUAGCUGAUCAAGAAUAAGGGACAUGGCACUUGGCUAGACUGUACUAUCUUUUAACUACUCAAGACAGAAGUGACGGUUACAAGUCCCAUGGUGAAAGGUAAAGUAAGUAAGUUUUAGUUCUUGACAGUUUACUCUAACUCAGAGAUGAGAUCUUAUUCAAAAGCAUGUGUACCGUCAAAUUUUUAAGAUAUUGCAACAACUUCUGAUCCAUUGUUGAGUCUAUCCUUGCUCAGGGACGAGCAAGAGGUAAGCUUGGGGGAGUUUGUUGACGUUCCUUAAGUAUCAAAUUUAAUUAUCAAAUAAACAAAGAAAAGGAUCCAAAUGAAAUCAACAUCUAGACUUAGUGUUUUAUCUGACAGAAUUCCACGAGUUUUGGUGUUUGUCUAUUUCUGCAGGGGGUUAUCAGGAAAUACGGAAGAAAGGCCCACACGUCGGGAUUACAUAGAGAUAUUAACGUGCAGUGCAAUUAUCUUACAUCUAGAAGACUCCAGAAGCCAAGGGAAGGAAGCGAAGGCCGAACGGGGCCAGAGGCAGGGCGCCCGCCCUCCUGCCCUGGGCGCCCGCCCUGACUUGGAGCCCAAUCAGGACUCUUUCUCUCAGGAGAUCUCCACCGACCUAAAGGAUCAAGAAUAACCGUUCAAUCAAAGUCGGUUUGAUCCGACGGCCCAGGUUCACUUGAGGGGACUAUAUAACCAGACCCCCUGGCCCCUGGAGGAGGCACCCCUUGAUCAUUAUUCACUAUUUAUAGACAGAGCAAAAGCUAGGGUUUAGAUAUGAGAGCUCUCCUCUCUUCUCUAAACUAGAGUAUAUCUAGAUAGUAGCAAGAUGGAGAGCUAAGGAGGAUUAGAGGAGAGGCCGGCCUGUCGGUUCUUCCUCUGGUUCUACUUUGUCAUGAUCAAGCUCUAAUCAAGCUUGCUCAUGGGAUGACUCUGGUAAUCUACUUCUAAUUCAUUAUGCAAUUACUAAUUAUGUAUGUUCUGGUUCACAACUCUUUUGAGUAUUCUAAUCUAUAGGACGCUAUAUUUGAGAGUUGUAGUAUAGGUGUAAGCGUGGUGCUUAGACCUAGAUUACUUGUGGAUAUCCCCUGUCUAGCUGGAUCGUGUGGUAGGCCGCGUAAGUGACAGCUAUGUUGGUCCUCUGUAGUCCACCUCUUGUUAGCAGGACGGGUAGGGUUUAUCGGCCUAAGGAUAAGCAUCCUUUGUGGUGUACUCUUAUCACGUGGUUCGUCCCAGACAUAGACAUACCCCUUUGAAGUAGAGAAACCAUAGUUAUCCUCUCUAUUCUGCUACCAUCGCCCAUAUACUAGAAUUGCUCUAGUCUCUAUUUCCAUAUUAUCACUCACUGAUAUCUUAUCUUUAAUAUUGUUCUUAUUCGAUUCCACCAUCUUUCCUAUUUACAUCUAUUUACUUAUCUUGGUUAAGUUAGAGCAUAGAUCAGUUCUCCCGUUUCCCUAUGGAUACGAUAAAACCUUUAACCGGGUAAAUGCUAUAAUGGUAUCCGUGCGCUUGCGGAUUAUCUGUGUGCAUAUAAAUACCAUAGUACACUCUAGUGCCAUGCUGGGGAUGAUAACCUAGUAUUCAAGUGGUGUUAGCAAGUGUCAACAGCGGGCGCCCAAGGGGGGAGGGCGGGCGCCCUGCCCCCGAGCCCGUUCGGCCUCCCGUUUGUUCCCGUGGCUUCUAGAGUCUUCUAGAUGAUAGAAAAUUGUGCGGCAUGUUAAUAUCUCUAUGUAAACCCAACGUGUGGGCCUUUCUUCCGUAUUUCCUGAUAACCCCCUGCAGAAAUAGACAAACACCAAAACUCGUGGAAUUCUGUCAGAUAAAACCCUAAGUCUGGGUGUUGGUUGCAUUUGGAUCCUUUUCUUUAUUUAUUUGAUGAUUAUAUUUAGUACUUAAGGACCGUCAACAGGGAUUACGUAGGUGGCGGCUUCAUCCGCUCCCAAUUGGUGCUCCUACUCCCUUCAAGGUAUUCCUUGAUUGAUUAUAGGUUGUGUUGGUUGGUUCUUUGAGUGUGUGGUUGGGCGAAUCCUCGAUUCAAGUUGUCGGUUAAAGACGUUGGUUGGCUUUGAGUUUUAUUUGUCAGGUUGCACUAGUUAUCGCUGCUUGCAGCAAGUUAUCCGGCUGUUCUUUAGCUAGUUAUCGGUGUUCUUCCUACAUCAUGAAGAUCAGGACAAGUGUCGCAUCAUCAAGGAAGUAGAUAUGCUGAGCGCCAAGAUGCACUUGCUAAUGAAGAGGCUCGAUGAUAGAGCUAGUGAGAAGAACGAGCUCGUCAAUUACUCUCGUAUGACUUAUGAAGAAUGUGGAGACACUAGGCAUUCAGGCAACCACUGCCCAACACUCCAGGAGGAUGUGAGCUACCUCAACAACAACAACUACAAUCGUCCUCAACAAAAUCAUGGCUGGAAUCAACAGAGGUCUAAGUACUCAACCAACUACUCCUCAGGUAACUACCAAGGUAACAACUUUAGCAAUAAUUUCAAUCAACCACCUUUGAGAGAGUUAGUUGUGAAUCAAGGAAAACUCAUGGAUAAUCUAUCUAUGAAAAUUUCAUCCAGUGAUAAAAUUUUAGAGACAAUGAAUACUAGGAUGGAUAACUUUGCAACAGCAAUUAAGAAUCAACACAGCUUUAAUAAAAUGAUUGAAUCUCCAAUAUCUCAAUUGAUAACUGAUGUUCCUACCGCUAACCAAGGAAAGAUUCUGGGGCAACCGGAAGAAUUAGAAUGUGAAAAUCUUGUCGAUAUAUACAAUGUAGGGAAGUAUUUCAGGGCUGUAUCAACUAGAGGCUGGAAAGAUGAGUCCAUGCCCGAGAAGAAAGGUGGUCCACGAAGGUCGGUCAUCCCCAUCAACAUUGGAGGCAACCACUUCUUAGAAGUACUUUGUGACUUUGGUGCAAACGUUAACAUCAUGCCUAAUGUACUAUACGAGAAAAUUCAUGGAGACCCAUUGUUUUAUACAACCAUGUGCUUGCAGAUGGCAGACUAGACACUGUGCUACCCAAAAGGAAUCCUUGAAGAUGUCUGCGUCUAAGUUGGCUAAUCAUAUGUGCCUGCGGACUUUAUGGUAAUAGAGACCGGAGGUGAUGAGAGAGCACCCAUCAUCUUGGGGCGCCCAUUCUUCUCCAUUGUGUUGACGGUAGUUAACUCCUAUUUUUAACUGUCAACAUAACUUUAUAACUUCAAACAAAUGCUAACAUAGGUUUAGAGGUUUGAACUAACAAAUUCCACGAGUUUUGGUGCAUCUAUGUUUUGUAGGGGUUACACAGGAAAAGAGCUAAAGGCAAUCCAAUCAGUGAAUAAAAGUACCUCAAAUGAUGAAGCAGACUGCACCAUUACAACAGGCUCAUCGUGAUGAUCGAAAUCCAUAUAUCAUUUGCCCUAUUUGGAGUCUCAAAUGAAGGAAUAUGAAUUUCACAAGAAAAUACACUUUUCUUGAGUCUAUAAGGUUUGAGACGACACUAGAACGAACGGGAAGGCAAACGGCCACAGGGGAUGGGCGCCCGCCCCACCCCCUUGGGCGCCCGCCCGGCCAUAGCAGCCAAUCAGGCUCUGGCUCGCGGAUUCCCAAUCCACCGCCUUUGAGGAUUAAUCUUAAGCGCAUGUUUAUGUCGGUUAGAUCCGAAGGCUAUGGUUUCUCCUAGGGGGUGGAAAGAUUAGUACCUCAUCACUAGUUCAAGGAAGAGGAGGGGUCAGAUGCCCCCUAUAAAUACAAGCCUGACCCCCAUGGAGGAGAAUCAUUAUGAGUUGUAGAGGUAUCCCUCGAACGGAUGACCUCUCUUCUCUAGAGAAUUAGGGCUAGACAUUCCAAUGUAGUAGAUUAGUUCUAGUCGGGGGUUAGGGAGAGCGGAGCUACGCUCUGGUUCUGGAGGUGUCUUCUUUAGAGUUUUGGUAUGUCUUCAUAUCUCUUCAUUGUAAGACUUAUGCUUUAACUUAUGCUUUAAUAUAUUAUCUUCUCUUUUUAAUUUAUGUCUAUUUAUGAUUAGUGUAGUUGUUUUAUCUUGGAAUGGGAUCUCUGUUUGUAUUGAGUGCUCUAGUUAUCCAUGGUAAUUAGAGUAGCAAACGCUAGUGUAGACGUGGUGUCUAGGCAAUAGUUUACCUGAGGUUCCGCUCAAUCCCACGGAUAGUUGUAGUAGCCCCAGGGGUGAUAGCCCUGUCAGGCCUUUGUAAUCCACCACAUUUGGAUUGAUGUUUCGUAGAGCUUUUUGGCAGCCUUCCCCUGACUACUUUCUUCCCAGUCUUAUUCCAGAGUUGGAAAGGACCUUCUGUUCCAAAGUGCUAUUGUGUGAUUGCUAUAUCUUUUCAUAUUCUAUUAUCUUAGACCCUAAGUAAUAGAGAAAUACAUAGGAACCUUGAUCUUUCAUAUUAUCCUCCCACUAUAACUAUCUAUAUAUUAAUCAUUAAAUUCUCUUAUAUUUGCUUAAUUGAAUUAUCUUAUAGUAUAUCAUUUACCCCUGCUUAGUUUAGUUGAUACUCUAAGUUAGUAGAUGUAGGAUAGUGAAUUAUUAGAUUCUUAACCCUAGCUUCCCUGUGGUAAAAUAUAAAUAAUGAUACUUGGAAUACUCCUGGUAAAAUGUUACAAUGAUGUUCUGUGCACUUGCGUAAUCUUUUAUAAUUAUUUUGCACUAAUGAAUGUCAUUAAGCAUUUUUGGCGCUGUUGCUGUGGGUUAGGCUUUUUGCCUAUCUUUAGUGAUUGCGUUAAGAAAUGCCAACAAGCAUUUUUGGCUUCGUUGCCGGGGAAGUAAUUGGCAUAAUGAUUCUAAUAAUGAUCUUGAUGUCUGCUAAUUUAGUGUACCACUAGCUUUAGUAGGAUUACCCUUUAUUCAGUUGAGUGAUAGACAAGACAUCAGAAGCCGCUUCGACCUUGCGACAGGAUUCCACAGGAAUAAAGAACCCAGGGUGCUUGAACAUUCAUGAUCCAUCAUUCUGGAACCCUGCCAUCUCACAGGUUUCUAUAUACAUAUAUAUUUUCAUUUAUUCUAACCUUGUGUUGAUUGGAGAAAAGGUCGUUGUCACAAGAAUUCAACUCCCAUCCCAUGUGACGGAUAUUUACGCUAUGCCAUCAUCCCAGUUGUGCAUCAUGUGUGAUCAAGGUGAGAUAGUCUUACUCAUGGGCUUUAAACCUUGUGAGUAGUUAUAUUUUUAUUUCCUUGCAUACCACGGCAUGUCUACUUAGAAUCAUUCAUGCAUCCACUUCAUUUAGUUUUCUCAUCCACAUCAUGUUUAGUUCCUUGCAUGCACACAAUUCAUCUACAUCUAAAAAUAUAAUAAUAAUUCUCACUACGAUCAUACUCUAUCAUCACUAUUGAGUAAAUCUCUAUAAUCCUCUCAUGCUACCUUUGUUUACUAUAGUAUGCGUAGGCUUUUGAAGUCUUUUUAGACACCUUUUAAAAUUAGGCAAGGUGCUUAGUUUAAACUGUUGUUCUGACUUAAGUUAGACAAGGUGUCUAUUUUAAUUCUUGGAACAAAAGGUGUGCUGAUCUUACUUCUAAAAGGAUUUUAAAUUAAGCAUGGUGCUUAGGUUAAAAUGUCUUCUUCAAUCAAAUUAGACAUGGUAUCUAGGUUGAUUUUUGAGCCAAUAGUAUGCUAUAGUAGAUAUUGGAUAUUUUGUUAGACUAACCCCUACAAGAGAAUCUCAAAUACAAACUGGGAAAGUCUUGAGAUGAACUCACACUGGAGAUGAAGGGAGACACAACUCACGCGUAGCUAAGAAGAAAGAAGGGUGCCACAAAACAUGAUCCAUGAUCAAAGUACUCACUCCAUGGUGUUGCAUUGUCUUCUCAACUACAAAUUAUCAGGAAUCAAGAAAAGAUUGCCAAGAAAUGAGCAUGUAACAUUCUACACUCUCACCUCUAAGGUUGAGAAGCUGAGACAUGAGGAAGAAGGCCAACUCCUCUAGACGAUCCAACAAAGUUCUUCCUCAUCACUCCACAUGCUGGUUUGCAAUCUCUAAAUUCACUAUUGCUUUAUUUCUAUGAGUUUGAGUUGAUUCAUAAUGCCUAUAUUUAAGAAUCAAACAAUAAGAUGGAAAAAUAAAAUGUGCUAUGCUAAGUAUGUUAAAACAACAUAUUUUAGAGCACCAAAUGUGACCCUUAGCUUUGUGUUACAACAAUGCCCUUGUCAUUACUUGUAUAUUCCUUCGGGUAUGUGUUGUCCACUGAUGAUUCGCAAGGAUAAAGUAAUAAGAGCUUAAGGUCCAAGCAAAAAUUAGACAGAGAACAAAUAAUGGCAAGAAAGGAGUACAACAAAGGAGACAAGAUAGCCAAGCAAGGAAAGCUUCCACAAGAUGUUACGGCUUGAACAUGCUUUAAUACUAAAUGUAACAUCUCUUGGUAAGUUAUCAUGACUUCCAAUAUUUCAUCCUUGAUUUUCGCACACACGUAAGUAGAGAGCCAAACAUGUUUUGAGUUACAACCUCAUUUCAUCCAAUCUAAUUAGCUCAACAUGUACAGUUCUUUAUGCUUGUUCAUAGAACCACUUUCUUUAUCUUGUAGUUUUUAAUCCAAUGAUCUGAAAUGUGGCACAUCCUAUCGUUUAAAGAUGAUAGUCAUCAUCAUAAAGUUACAUGCAUAGAUAUACCAUCCUUCCAUAAAGUUGAGUAAUCUGAUCUGUCAAGUGUUUUAAUGCUAUAAGCUUGCUAAUUAUUUGUUCCUAUCACCCAUGUUUAGAUUGAGCUAAACGCAUAAACAUCUACUUUAUCUCAUUCAAUGUGCCAAAGGCUAGAGUAUAAUAAACAUCUACUUUUCUCACCAACAGAGCCCUUGAACUUGAUCUCUGCCUUGUGUCUAUAAGCAGGACACACUUUAGUCAACUCAUCGAGAAUCCUACAAGUGUAGAUCCUAGACCGAUGAUCAUACACACUGAGCGAAGAUGUUGCUAGCUCCCAGAACUAGUACUUGACUCCAACCCACUCGAAGAGCAAUAAACAUAGGUGACACCAUCUCAAGAGGUGCUCCUAUCACGGUGUUGACACCUAUUAACUUACAAAAUUUGUUAGCAUUUAUUUCUCCACCAGGUAUGAAUAUAUAGGGAUUAUUUCAAAAAGAACUGAAAAGAGGGAUUUAAGUGCUAAUGGGCCAUGAAUCUUAUCCACGACGAAGGAUGACACUAGAGGAUUCAAGAACACUCAAGAAGACACCCGACGUGAGGGGGGAGCCAAAAGCCACUAGGUGGGGCCAGCCGGCCCCACCCUAGCGCCAGCCGCCCCCCUAUGGUUAGGAUUUGCCCCUCCUUCUGGAAGCUUCCUCCACCGCCUCUGAGGAGCCAUCUUGGCUGCUUGUUAAGUCGAUUUGAUCCAACGGCGCGUGUUCAUCUGUGGCAGAACCUCCUAAGUGUUUGGGCCCACCGACACCUGUCAUUGUCCUGAGGACCUCUGACGGUGAUGCCGGGGAUCCUCCCACUCUAGAAGUCUGAUGAGCAUCUCAGGACGCUCAUUCCACCGCUACCUGUGGCGUAUCAAGCAAGCUCGUCCUGACCACUACUAAUGGUCAAUUAAUGAGAACUUCUUCUUCUCGCCCUUACAGGAUAGCAAGUGGCCACCUUAACAACAGGAUCACUUGUUGCGAAGACAUUGCAGUAUCACAAACGACAUAAGACCAAAAUAAUAUUUCAGAGUAAAGCAGCAAAAGUAUUACAUAACUUAAUUUACAAAAGUAGUUCUUUCAAAUAGUAGAGUGUUAUUACAAGCCAGGUCCAGCGGAACAACUUAAACUUUAGUACACAGAUUACAAACUUACAGACCCUGCCCAUGGGUGACGCUCACUCUUCCUCGUCGUCAACCUCGACGACGGACACACAACAGCGUCCGAAACAUGUCGGCUCCUGAACUCCACCUGCAACAGGGGUUAUAAAACCCUGAGUACGGGAGUACUCAACAAGACUUACCCAGCGGAAAAAAAGGAGAAACUAGGAAUGCAGGCUUGGGGUAGACAAGGAGUGGCUAAGCAAGGAGCCAAAUUGUUUUGCCAAAAAGCUUACUAAUAGUGCAUCCUUACUUUCAAGUUUUACCCACAAAUUCCUCUCCUUAAGAGGUCGAGGAGUUCGAGGACAGUCUAUCUAGUUGCUUCUCACAGACAAGUCUGUAAGUUUCUAAUCCUUAAUCAAAGUAUUUACUAUCCAACGGCCAUAGCUUCAUAUCACUCUGAGUCCGGGAAUUGGGAUCCGAACCUCAUGAGACAUUUCCCCCUUUCUCAUUUUAUCACUUAGUUGCAUAAUUAACUAUGAUGACGGUCAGUGGAUUGAGUCUCCCAAUCGGGGAGCAACGACGAUUCGAACCGCUUAGCAAUCCAGCUGGAGUUCCUAACCACCCGACAUAUGUAGAACCAAAUCUUGCGUAUGUCAACCCAAAUCAAGCUUUCCCCAAAUUUGACUAGGUUUGCGGCACCCGAGAGCACAGUACUCCACCAUCCUACAGCCGAUCUAGAUGUUUUCCAGUCAUCUCAGAUCCGUAAGGUGGGUACACGCUACUCUCGCCAUCGCUUCACGCCCAGUGCGCGAGUAGCUGUUCGCGUCGAGGGAUCACAAGACCGGGCUUACCGAGGGCAAGUGGCUAGUACUAUAAAUUCUCAACCCAGCGGGCCAUCAACGGACCGGUCCUUAACCUACACAGUUAGAGACACUACUUUAAGACUCCAUUCUUAAAGCAAGUCCACCGACCAGUCUCAAAUUGAAACAUCAUUGAUCAUAAAUGUAUUCCACAACAACCCUUCAAACUUUUUUGUUUGAAAACCUAUCUAGUAGCAGGGCUAAGCAUCACUACGCAAUUUUAAAAUAAAAUAGGUGUCAAGGACAGGAUGACAAAUAUUAAGGUAGUAAAUGCAGCAAGUAGGUUAACCCAAUUCUCAACUACCUAAUGUAGCAUUUUCAAUUCAUAAGUGAUAAAAGAUUUAAAACAUUGAAGGAGGGGUUAAUGCAUCCGGGGCUUGCCUUGGUUGCAGAGCGGAGAGGGACCCUCGGAGACUUCAAAAGUCUCAGAUCCUACUUCCUCGAACGGAGCACCGACCUCGAGGUUCGGUUCAACGGUCGCUCCUUCGGUCACGUGCACUAUACGCAAAGUGAUGGAUGCUCAUGAUAUGCGUAUGACAAAUAUUUAAGAAGGACCGAGUUAAGUACAACUAGCCUUCUCGGUGCAAUACAGACAAAACAAUAAUUAAAGUUGUUUAUAAUUUUGGUUUCUUUACCCAAGAGGUUGCAUCAGUAAACUAAGAUUCCUCUUAAUUCACAAUUAUCCUUAAUUAACUAAUUAUUAAUCCUUUCUACCUUAAUUAAUUAUUAAUUAAGUAUUAAUGACAGUAAUUAAGCAUUAAUACCAAACAAUAAGUAAAUGCCAAAGGUCAUUAAGGCUAAUGACCUCAGGUCAUCACACAAUUCUAAAAUCACUCAAACCCUAAUAUUGAGAAUUUAAACUAAUUAUUAUCUAAUUAUUCUAGAAUUAUUAUUUAACUACUAAUUAAGGGUUUAAUAAUAUUUUAUUCAAACAGUAUCCAAAUGCCACCAAAUUUUGUGUGAAGCCAGGGAAUAAUAUUCAGAGGCAUCCCACAAAUUUUGGUGAUUUUUGGACAUGCAAUUAAAUUAUUAAAAUUCAUAGAAGUUUUAUUUGCUAAUUAAAAUAGGCAAUUUUUAUACACAUGCAAACUACCAAAAAGUAGAAUCUAAUAUUUUUCCCAUGUUCUAUUCAUUUUAUGGAAUCUAUACAAAAAUUUCCAUGAUUUUUGAAUCGGUAUCAAAUUUUCUACACAAAAUCAAACAUACAUCACAUUUUGUAAAAAAAGAAGAAAACACUAUGCUGCGAGCGGCCCGGGAAUUCGGCACGCAGGCCAGCCCACGCGCGCUCGGCCCAAACACGCACUGCGCGCGCCCUCGCCUCCACUCACGGCAUCGCUGACAGCGGGCCCCCGCUGUCAGCUUCGUCUUCAAGCUUCGGCCGGCCAAAUCAACGGCACGACCGAGCCAUCCGCGCCAUCUCCGCUCCAUCGCGCACCUCUGGACCCCUUGAGCACUCGUUCUCUCCUAGCCUAGCCCCCGUGGCCACGGGCACGGCGGACGGCCGCGUCGGCCGGGCAAACGCCGGCCGCUACAAGCGAGUAGAACGCUAAUUGGAUGGCGUAUAAGCAUCGGUGGCUCACCGCGACUUCAGCGAAGCAAACGACGGCGGUAGAGGAGCUCGGAGCAGGCCUAGCCGCAGUGAGGUGCUCGCGGCGACGCUUUUACCGGAGUUGGGAACGAUGGCUCGGAGUGGAGCUACGGCAGGUUAGAGCUUGCGCUCGGGGGCGCAAUCAAUGGCUAAGAGCUUGGCGAAGCUAUUGGAGUGCUCGGGUGGCUUGGAAGGGAAGCAGGCGAGGUGAACUUGGGGAGCGGAGUAAGUUCGUCGGCGUUGAGUGGAAAGGAGGAAAAAUGAGGCGGCCAGGUAGUGUGGUUGCUAAGGGGAGUGGAUGAGCACGCCGGGGGCUUGUCCACUUCAUGGCGGGCUCGCGCAGCCAAGCAGCUACGUGGCUAGGCACGUGGCGGCGCGUGCGAAGGCGGCACUUGCCCGCCCUGCGGCCGCGGUGGACGGGCUCGUGAUCCUCAUCGGAUCACUGUAGCCGUCCCUUAUCCCCUCUUCUCUGUUUUUUGCAAAAUUCACCCAAAAAUUGAACUGGAGCCAAUUUUUCACCAAAAUGAAAGUUGUGCAAAAUUUUACAAGCUACAAAACUCCUUUUGGUGACCAAGGCUAAUUCUGAGUGGAAAUUGGUGAAUUUGACAAAACAGUUUGAAAUUCAAAUCUCAAUUUAGGGAAAUUCAAAUUUUUGAAUUGGGGGCAGAUCAGAAUUUCCAAAAUUACUUUUGAUUUUCUAGAACAACUUGAAAAAUUCCCAACAUGAUAGUUGUUCAACUUUUUGAGCUCUACAACUUUCAUGUUGGUCACUUUUCAAGAUUCCAAAUAGAUUUUGAAUUGGAGAUUCAAAUUGGAAAAAGAGGACACUUUCUGGAAAUCUGUAUUUUCACAAUUACUUUGAAUUUUGUAUUGAAACUUCAAAAACUCAAAACACCAAAGUUGUACAUCUUGACAAGAUCUACAACUUUGCUUUUGAACUCAACUUCAAAUUUUGCUUAGUUUUUAAAUUGCACAAAUGGGGGCAAAACAAGGCUUUUUAAAAAUCAGGGUUUAUCCCCCCCAUUUCUCUCGGAAAUCUUCCACCCUAGGAAUUAUACAACCAACACAAGCAUCACUUCACAACAUAAGCACACUUUAAUUCCGUAAGCACAAACAAUCAAAAUAAACUUGUUUUAAGUUGAUGCAUAAUAAUGUGCUUAACAGGUAUGCGAUGCAAUGCUCAUGAUGACAUGAUCCUGUUUUAGUAACCGUAACAUCAGGGAUGUUACAGCCCUUCCCCCUUAAAGAAAUCUCAUCCCCGUGAUUUAAAGCCUUAGGGUAUGUAAUGGAAAAGGAAAUUUGUCAAACUAUUUCACUUUCAACCUUUUCAUAAUACAAGAAGUUGGGGAAGACUACUUAAUCAUAAACACAUAUGUACAUUAAGUACAUGGUUUUGGCUACUCUUUUCCUUCACUAGAGUACACUUCUCAUUUAUUGGAUGUUGUCUUGAAGAGAAGCAUGGAAUUUAGGAAAAUUCUCCAUUAGAUAAUCUUCAGAUUCCCAUGUGGCUUCCUCUUGAGAGUGCUGGCUCCAUUGCACCUUGUACCACUUGGUAGUUGUUCUUCGAGUAACUCUAUCUCUUUGGUCUAAUACUCGGAUAGGGUAUUCCGCAUAAGUCAGAUCCGGUUCAAGUUCCACAUCUUCGAUAUCUUGAACUUGGUCCGGUACCCAAAGACACCUUUUCAGUUGAGACACAUGGAAUACAUUGUGUAUCCCGGAUAAUCAUUCAGGCAGUUUAAGGCGGUAAGCUACCUGUCCACAUCGGUCGAUGAUUGGAAACAGACCAAUGUAACGAGGUGCUAAUUUGCCUUUAACGCCAAAAUGAUUUACUCCUUUCAUUGGGGAUACUUUCAGAUACACAUGGUCACCUUUGGCGAACCUUAAGGGUCGACGUCUUUUAUCGGCAUAGCUUUUCUGUCGGCACUGAGCAAUCUUCAAGUUAUUUUGGAUUUGUUUAACUUUGUUCUCAGUUUCUUUCACUAAGUCAACCCCAAAGAAGCACCUUUCUCCAGGUUCUGACCAAUGUAGUGGAGUCCGACAUCGACGGCCAUAUAGUGCCUCGAAGGGAGCCAUCUUAAUACUUUCUUGGUAGCUAUUGUUGUAGGAAAACUCUGUUAGAGGCAAGCAGUCAUCCCACUUAUCUAGAAAAUUCAGGGCACAAGAUCUUAAUAGAUCUUCUAGGGUUUGAUUCACCCUUUCUGUUUGCCCACCUGUUUGAGGGUGGUAGGUUGUACUGUAUAAAAGCUUAGUGCCCAAAGAUUCAUGUAAGCAUUUCCAGAACUAGGAGACAAAUUGUGUGCCUCUAUCUGACACUAUUGUCUUUGGCACCCCAUGCAGACUUAGUAUAUGAUCAAAAUAGAUCUUAGCAUAGGUGGAGGUAGGAUAUAAUGUCUUUACAGGCAAGAAGUGUGCUGUUUUGGUGAGACGAUCCACAAUGACCCAAAUUGAAUCAAAGCCUUUGGCCGUCUUGGGCAACCCUACUAUGAAAUCCAUACUAAUAUCAUCCCAUUUCCAUGCUGGAAUAGGUAGAGGUUGCAACUCUCCAGCGGAUUUGAGAUGGAUAGCUUUGACCUUUCGGCAGGUAUCGCAUUGGGCCACAUUGCGGGCUAUUUCUAUUUUCAUUUUCGUCUACCAAAACCUUUGCUUUAGGUCCUGAUACAUUUUAUUACUCCCCAGAUGAAUAGAAUAUCUGGUAGUAUGAGCUUCAUCCAGGAUUUGCUGACGUAGCUCAGGUACCUUUGGAACCACUAACCGGUUUUUGAACCAGAUUACUCCUGCAUCAUCUACCUUAAAGUCAGUGGGUGCUCUAUUAGAAAUUUUCUCUUUAAGAUAUUUCAUGCCUUUGUCUUCCUUUUGUGCCUCUAUGAUUUGAGCUUCAAGAUUGAAAUCAAUCUUUAGAUUGGCAAGGCUUUCUUGAGAAAUCAUUUCUAUCCCCAAAUUCUCUAGCUCUUGGCACAAAGUUAUAUCUUUAGGCGUCACUGCUAAGCAAUUACAGUGAGCCUUACGACUGAGGGCAUCAGCUACUACGUUCGCCUUGCCAGGGUGAUAAUGCACCUCAAGGUCGUAAUCUUUGAUCAAUUCUAGCCACCUUUGCUGGCGCAUAUUAAGUUCAGCUUGAGUAAAGAUGUACUUCAAGCUCUUGUGAUCUGUGUAUAAGUGACAAGUAUUCCCCAACAGAUAAUGGCGCCAGAUCUUUAAUGCAUGUACUACAGCGGCUAGUUCAAGAUCAUGGGUCGGGUAAUUCUCUUCAUGUGGUUUAAGCUCUCUGGAAGCAUAUGCAAUUACUCGACCCUCCUGCAUUAGCACACAGCCUAUCCCUAUCCAUGAUGCGUCACAAUACACAUCAAAGGGUUUUUCAAUAUCUAGCUGGGCUAAGACAGGUGUAGUUGUCAAUAAUCUUUUCAGAGUCUGGAAGGCUUGCUCACAUUCAGGUGACCAAACAAAUUUUGUUUGAUUCUUGAGCAAGGUCGUGAUUGGUUUAGCGACUCUUGAAAAGUCCGGGAUAAAGCGACGGUAAUAUCCCGCCAUACCUAGAAAACUACGGACCUCAUGUACCGUAGUCGGGGCUUCCAAUUCAACACAUCUUCUACUUUACCUGGGUCUACAGCCACUCCCUCCGCUGAUAAUACAUGACCCAGGAAAUGGACUUUGUCUAGCCAGAACUCACAUUUGCUGAACUUGGCAUAUAGUUGAUGCUCCCUAAGACGGGUCUGCACAAUUCUCAUAUGUUCAGCAUGUUUUUUCUUAGUUUUGGAAUAGAUCAAAAUGUCAUCAAUGAUGACGACCACGAUUUUGUCCACCUCUGGCAUGAAGACAGAGUUCAUCAAGUACAUGAAAUGGGUCGGUGCAUUGGUCAACCCAAAAGACAUCACCAAGUAUUCGUACAGCCCAUAACGGGUUGUAAGAGCCGUUUUGGGUACAUCCUCCGGCCUGAUUUUGAUUUGAGGGUACCCUGAUCUCAAAUCAAUCUUUGAGAAUACUUUGGCCUCGGCUAACUGGUCAAAUAGUAAGUCAAUACGGGGCAAUGGGUACUUGUUCUUAAUCGUCACCUCAUUCAGGGGACGAUAAUCGACACACAGUCUUAAUGUUUGAUCUUUCUUUUUCACAAAUAAGGCUGGGCAACCGCAUGGAGAGGAACUGGGCUGAAUAAAACCUUUUUGCAACAACUCUUGUAGUUGGGUUUUUAAUUCGGCCAGUUCUUUCGGUGCCAUUCGGUAGGCCCUUUGAGAUAUUGGGGCUGUCCCUGGUUUCAAUUCUGUACUGAACUGGACAUCCCGGUCCGGUGGCAGACCAGGUAGAUCAUCAGGAAACACGUCCGGAAAAUCUCGAACCACCGGGAUAUUUUUGACUACAGCCACAUUAGUGGCAUGAACCUGCCCAAUUGCCCGUUUGGGAGUAGCUAACUGGAUUAGAAGGUAAGAAUUCUCAUUGGGCAAGGGCAUCUUAAUGCUUCGAUGUAAGGUGUCUGGCACAACCCCUCGUUGUGCCAUCCAGUUCAUGCCUAGUAUGACAUCAAUCUCCUGGUCUUUAAGAACAAUCAUGCUAGUGGGAAAGCUAUGCCCACCAAAUUCGAUGGGUAUCCGUUGAAAAAUUUCUUUAGAACUCAGCCGUCCCCCUGGCGACUGUAUAUAAAAAUGAUCUUGUGUUUCUCCAAUGGGUAUGGCAUGCUUCAUCACAAAGGUGCGGUUGAUGAAUGUAUGAGAUGCACCAGAAUCUAAAAGCAUUAAGGCAGGAUGUUUCGCAACAGGAAACGUACCCAUCAUUACCGGUUCUCCUUCCGGUAUUGUCUCCACCUCUGUAUGGAAGACUUGUCCCACUUUCUUGGCUGGCUUACCCCCUUUGCAUAUUUUGUCCUUUUUGAGCCCCAAUUUUGAAUUGGCUCGGCUGGGGUUGGCCAAUGGGUGGCCUUUAGAAAGUGGGGUUGGUUUGGCGGGGGUACGGUCAUUCGUUAGAAAAAUGCCCAGGCUUACCAAAAUUGAAACAAGGAUAAUUGUGGUUGGGCGGAGCAGUGGGACGAACACCUGGGGCGUUCGGCUGGCGUGGUGCAGUGGCGAUGGCAGUAGGUCGAGGAUAUACCUGCUGCCCGGGUCUAUAUUGUGGAGGGGGAAAAGGACCACGAUAAGGUGACGGCGCUUGAAAGCGUCCGUGGCCCUAUGGAUGAUAAAUGAUUCUCUGGCGCUUUUGACCGCGACCAGAGAAGGAGGAAGAAGCGGCCUUCUUGGCUUCUUUGUGUUUUCUAUUCUUUUCUUCUGAGGCGAUGGCAAUAUUUACCUCCUCGUAGAAAGUAGCAUUCUGACACGUGGUCAUCAUGGUCUGGAGUUUGGUAUUGCGACCACGCAUGAAACAGGCCUUCUUCUUUCUAUCCGUGUUCACAUGAUCCAUGGCAUACUGAGAAAGAUGAUUAAAUUUUGCCACGUACUCCAUCACACUCUUAUCGCCUUGCUGCAAGGCGAGAAAUUCUUCGGCCUUCAUGGCCAUAAGCCCCUCGGGGAUAUAGUGGGCGCGGAACGCGUCGUUAAAUUCUGUCCAGGUGACCUGGUGUCCUGGACCUUGGAUAGCUAAGAAGUUCUCCCACCAGGCACCCGCAGCUCCCCGAAGCUGUUGAGCUACGAACAGGGGCUUCUGAGUUUCCGAACAUCGGAUCAGACUGAACUUGUGCUCCAUGGUCCGGAGCCAGUCGUCGGCCUCUAACGGCUCAUCAGCCUUGGUGAAUACCGGGGGCCUUGUCUCGGUAAAGUCCACGUACCGAGUUUCUCCCUCCCCAUUGUGCUGUGCUCUGAAGUUUGGGGCGGGGGUGUGGUUGGCGUUGUGCUAACUCGCGCAACAAGCGAGCGUUGUCGGUAGUGGCACUCAAAAGAACAGCAAUGGCGUCUGCCAGGGAGGGUGGAGCAGGUGGAGGGUUGGGGAUAUCAUCCCCUCCCUGAGAGGACCCGGCUCCAUCAGAUCCACGAGUACGCAUCGGCAUCUGCUACAAGAAUCAUAGGUACUUGUUACCACAUGGAAUCCAUAACUUAAGACAUAUCUUACAUACUUCCAUUUAUUUAUCAAACAUCAGUUCAACACACUGGAAACAAACGAGUACAACUUCUUAAACUGAAAGAAAAAUCUAUACUACAGACUCGACCCCACUACGGUAGACUAGGAAUCCUUCAACGACAUUGCCUGCGACUUCACCGAACUAGUCGGUGUGGUCAGAGCCGUAGUCCGGGUCGUCAUUGUCAUCGUCAUGGUUACCCCCCGAGUUACUGAGGUCUUGGUCGGGUUCCCCAUCAUCCACCAACACUCCGUCCGUGUCCAUCUCCCCUUAACCUGGAGGUGGAUGGAGCUGAUGAUAUAGGUCGAAUGCAAUAUCACGGUACUGCAUCGCCAAGUCGUUGACGGUAUCUAGAUGAUGUGCCAGCUCGAGCUUCUCCAGCUGUAGUUGGUCUUCCCGCUGCCACGCGACAUCCCUCUGCGCGGUGACAGUGGCCGCCAUCUUCACGUACAGGUCUUUAAUAUACUUGGUUUUGUCCAGCUUAGCCUUCAGUCUGGUCAGCUCGUGCCUGUGUGCGCUCCUGGCCUCCUCUUCUCGGGCAAUAGCGGCAUUCCUUUCUUCCACCAUACGGGACAGCAUCGCCUCGCAGUUCUCGGUGGCUUGUUCUUGUUUUGUUAGUUGAGCUUUAAGUUCGCCAAUCUCCAUGACAUUGUACAUCCUUUCUCUCGUCACUUCAGUUAGCUCGGCGGACAACCUUUUGUUGACACCGUUUUUGGGCACGUGUCUGGGAUGGCAGGAUAAGGUGGCAGUACGACGUUUACAAAGUGGGUUACCGAUGAGGAUGGUUGCCGAUGAGGGAGAGGUUGAACGUGAUUAAGUCCACAGGCAGUAAUAUGGUGCCGAUGUCUAGAUAAGAAAGUCUGCCGAUGACUAUGGCAAAGGGUCUGCCGAUGAUGCAAAGAGGGAGUCCGGAAGCUGCCGGUCGUUAUGUGGAGGAGUUUCAGUUUGUCACGAGGGGUAGUUUUGUUAUUUCCUUAAUUAUUUGCAUCGUUUUGUAUACGGAUUCCGUGUAAUUUGGAAUUCGAAUUCUAAUCGUGUCUGGUUGUAGCUCUUUGAGCAGGGUAUAAAUGUAGACCCUAGGGCCUUGUAAUAGAUCAUCAAUCAAGAAAUCAAUCAAACACACGUUUUUACUCAUAUUCCAACAUCUACUUUUCGACGACUUCGUCACACUUUUUCCUUUUAUUACGAGUUCUUAGGAAUUCGCCGACUUAAGCUCGGCGUGUUCUCGAGUUCCGCGUGAGUACCUCUUAGCCGUGACAUCCGGGCGCAUCGCUGUUGUCAGGACUAAAGUAUUCGAGUUAUCACCUUUGCCGAUAGUAAGGUCAAAUCGGCUGGCAUGCCUUAACGCUUGAAUCGGGUAUUAGCCCUUUGUGUUUGCAGACCAGUUUUGCAUCAACACAUCUUUUGGCACGCCCGGUGGGACCAGAUUCAAGAUCAAGAUCAACAUGUCGAUCUCUGACCUCGAUCAAGAGAACGUCAUCCCCGUGACGGAGGCCAACCUCAAGGAUGAGCAGAAGCAAGCUAUUGCCCAAGCCAUGGAAGAGUUCAAGCAGCAAUGCCUGAGGCCUUUCAGCAUAAACAGGAGCGGCGAAGUGGUCCAGAAAGAUGCACUGCCGGCACCGCGGCAGGUUACCUUUGACGCCAAUCCUGGCAAGCUUCAAGAUAUGGUUGACAAUGCCAUCAAUCGAGCGUUGAUUAACCAAGCUGGUGUACUGUCUAAUACGGUUUUCAAUGCCGUGGCAAGAACUUUCAAGGAAGGACAAAUCCCACCAGAUUAUGUGGGCCCCUCCCAUCAUCAGCCAACGGCACCAGAGGUCACGGCUCCAUCGGCUGCCUUGACGAAUGCAAGUGCACAAUCUGCCGUCCCUCCAAGUACAUUGGGGACUACUGGUGCACUAUCUAUGCCGAUGGCAACCAACCCACAAAUUUCAGUUGGGCAGCAUAAACUGACAACAGAUAUGUUGGCAUCGGCAAUGUCAGGGUUGACUCUUCCUCCCAACUGGUGGGGAUACGGUAUGCCUCCAGAGUUGACGCCGGGAACAUCACAAAUAACUGACAUGAGGGGCAAAACUCCUAUGACAUCGGCACCUCCCAAUGCGCCGGUGAACCAGAGUCCUCGGUAUACCACAACUACUACUGCGAGGCCUCACACUGGAAAUCCUCAAGAUUCAAUGUUCCAGAUGCCCAACGCAUCGGCAGAGUCAAUGCUGAUGCAACAGAGGCCUAUGGCCCAGUCGGGGUAUGUCAAUUCAACGACGGUACCCAAUUACCAAUCAUCGGCAGCACCUAUGCCGAUGAACGCUAAUAAUGGAUGGCUUGGACAGCAAGCCUUUCCACAAUCGCCCCAGCAGAGUUACCAGACUACGGGGUUCCAGCAAGGGCAGGUCUAUCCCGGGUUCCAAGGUCAGGGGAUUCCCAAACAGCCAAUGAAUUUUGGACAACAACUCGGAGGACAGCCAAUCGGUGGACAGCAGCUUGGUGGUCCGCAGAUUGGAGGACAGGUGAUCAAUACAAUGUUCCGUGCAGAACACGUCCCGAACAGACACGUGGAGGUUCGCCACCAAGUGCCAGAUCCGCAGCCGCCUCAUCGGCAAGAUGCCGAUGCAUAUUGGGCCGAUAAGAUUGCUGAAGUAAUGAGGGAACAAUUUGGGAUAAAACCCAAAGUCAACACUUAUUCUUAUCGGACACCGUAUCCUCCCGCGUAUGAUUUGAUCCCGCUUCCACAUCGGUACAAGGUACCGGAUUUUACAAAGUUUUCCGGACAGGACGACACGUCAACCAUGGAGCAUGUCAACAGGUUCAUUAUUCAAUGUGGAGAGGCCGGUAACAGGGACGAAUUGAGGGUUCGUCUAUUUUCAUCAUCAUUGUCUGGAUCGGCCUUUACUUGGUUCAUAUCGUUACCUCCCAACUCAGUAAUUACUUGGGCCGAUCUAGAGAAGCAAUUCCACAAAUACUUCUUCUCGGGGGUUCAUGAGAAGAAGAUCACCGACUUGGUCAAGUUGAGGCAACGUAAUGAUGAGUCGGUUGAGGGAUUUGUGCAGAGGAUACGAGAGGUCAAGAAUAAAUGCUAUAGCGUGGUUCUGGAUGAUCGGCAGCUAGCCGAUUUGGCUUUCCAGGGUUUGUUGCCACAUAUCAGGGAUAAGUAUGCCUCUCAGGAGUUCGAAAGUUUAAGUCAUUUGGUGCAGAGGAUUUCUGAUCAAGACAUCAAGCCUUUUGAGCCUAAGAGAGCAUGGAAUAAGAAAGUGUCAUUUGUCGAUGAAGCAACAAGCUCAGAUUCUGAUGAAGAACCAGUAAUCGGUUUGGCAGAGUGGGUAAAAAACAAGAAGCCGAUGUCUUGUCCUUUUGGACAGAAGGAACCAGAGAAGUUUGCUUUUGACACCGCUAAGGCCGAUAGGAUAUUUGACUUUCUACUUCAGGAAGGUCAGAUCAAACUGUCACCUAACCAUGUGAUCCCAUCGGCAGAAGAGUUGAAGAGGAUGAGAUAUUGCAAGUGGCAUAAUGCAACUUCCCAUGACACCAACGAGUGCAAAGUAUUCAGACAGCAGCUGCAAUCGGCUAUAGAGUCAGGGAAAAUCAAGUUUGACAGUUCCAAAGCCCAGAAGCCGAUGAAGAUAGACCAACAUCCUUUCCCGACAAACAUGUUGGAUGCUAAGGGGAAGGCUAAGGUCUUAACAUCGGAGACAGCUGAGAAGAGUGCAUCGGUAGAUCCUCAGCAUCAAGUUACUACUGCCGAUGCAAGAAGUAAGGGCUUGGUCCAGGAAGGAACUAGCUCAGGAAGGCUUCCUCGAUCUGGUAUCGUCAUAACUCAUAGAAGGCCUCGAGAAAAAUGGCAACAACGGGAAGAUCGGUAUCGGGGCCAGCAGGAAGAUUAUCAACGGGAAGAAGAAAGACGCCGACAGGAGUGGAAUCGGCACAGGGAUCAUUGGAAUUGUCCCUUCUUCAUCCAUUGUUGGGAGGAGAAUAUCAAGCUUCCUACUGUCAGAAACUGCCCUGAGUGCAACGGUUAUGAUCGGUACGAUAGGAUCGAUCGGCAUUAUCAUAAUGAUGAACGGCGAUUUAAUGGGCCGAUCAGAGGAAGGGUGUCAGUUCAUGACCGGCUGGGGGGCAGAUAUAGCGGGCACGACAGACUUAGUGACCGUGUCCAGUAUUUUCCCAGGAACCAAGAAGAGCUCGAGGGAAUGGCUGAUGCGCGGGUUCCCGAUGAAUUCAUAUUUUGCAGGGAUGCUAACACGCAUCGUAUGGAGUCAAGGGAGAACCGACGCCCGACGGCAAGGCAAAGGCCACUUCCUCCAUGGUGCCUGGAGGAUUAACCAAGACACAGAAAAGGAGAUUACAACGUGAAAGGCAAGAAGAGCUAAACAAGGGAGAGAACCCUGGAAGUCGGCAGCCAUCAGACACUAAGAGGGAAGGUCCAUCGGCAGGCGUCAACAUGGUCUUCAUGUUGCCGAUGGAGUUUCUUGCACCAGCCAGUGAUGAUGAGUUGGAAUUUUCUGAUCAGAUAGCUCAGUUGGCUCUAGAUCCGAUGACGGCUAUCUUUGAGAAACCUGCCGAUGACGAGAGGCAGCAUCUUAAAGCUCUGUUCCUCAAAGGAAGGGUUGAUGGGCAGCCAAUGACCAAGAUCCUAGUUGAUGGUGGAGCUGCUAUUAAUAUUAUGCCGUACGCAGUACAUCGGAAGCUUGGGAAAGGGGAUCAAGAUUUGACCAAGACCGAUAUGAUGCUCAAAGACUUUGAAGGAAACGUGUCUCCAGUCAAGGGGGCGAUAUGUGCAGAGUUGACCAUCGGCAGCAAAACCUUGCCGACAACUUUUUUCGUGAUCAGCGGAAAAGGUGCUUACAACUUAUUAUUGGGAAGAGAUUGGAUUCAUGCCAAUUGCUGUAUCCCAUCUACAAUGCAUCAGUGCUUGGUUUAGUGGGUAGGUGACAAGAUUGAGAUUGUCCCAGGAGACUCUUCUUAUGUUAUCGCAUCAGCAGAAGCGGAUACUUACGAAAGGACCAGGUGCAUUUCAGGAGAAGUUUGGGAGAAAGAUUUUCUCAAAGUUGCCGAUUAUGAGAUUCCACCGAUCCAAGCAGUCGGUUCUGACGACGGUUUUUAAUGGAUAGAUUCGCCGAUGAUGGGAAAUUAGGCCAGGGAUUCACAUCGGCCGAUGAUUUGGUAGAAGUAGAUAUAGGUAGUGGUGAUAAGCCUAGGCCUACUUUCAUUAGUGCUAAAUUAGAUCCUGAGAGUAAGCAACAAUUGACUAGUUUGUUAAAGGAAUAUAAAGAUUGCUUUGCUUGGGAUUAUACUGAGAUGCCUGGUCUAGACCGAUCAAUUGUUGAACAUCGGUUACCCAUCAAGUCUGGAUUUCGGCCACAUCAGCAACCAGCCCGCCGAUGUAAUCCUAACAUUCUACCUGAUAUUAAGGCCGAAAUCACUAAACUUAUUGAAGCUAAGUUUAUUCGGCAGUGUCGGUAUGCCGAAUGGAUUUCCAAUGUUGUUCCGGUUUACAAGAAGAACGGGAAGCUUCGAGUGUGCAUUGAUUUCAGGAAUCUCAAUAAAGUUACGCCGAUGGAUGGAUACCCAAUGCCUGUCGCCGAUCUACUGGUUGAUGCUGCGGCUGGUCAUCGGGUCAUCAGCUUCAUGGAUGGUAAUGCAGGUUACAAUCAAAUAUUCAUGGCGGAGGAGGAUAUUCCAAAAACCGCAUUCAGGUGUCCUGGUCAUGUUGGGCUAUUUGAAUGGAUAGUCAUGACUUUUGGGUUGAAGAAUGAUGGUGCUACUUAUCAAAGGGCUAUGAAUUUUAUAUUUCAUGAGUUCAUCGGCAAGCUCGUAGAGAUUUAUAUUGAUGAUGUGGUAGUUAAGUCUGGAGAUUUCUCAAAGCAUCUUGCCGAUUUACAAAAAGUGUUAGAGUGCACAAGGAAGCAUGGAUUGAAGAUGAAUCCCAACAAGUGUGCAUUUGGUGUAUCGGCAGGACAGUUUCUUGGUUUCAUGGUACAUCAGAGGGGUAUUGAAAUUAGUCGAAGAUCUAUUGAUGCCAUCAAUAAAAUAGUGGCCCCUACCAACAAAACGGAGCUCCAAUCCUUGAUCGGCAAGGUAAAUUUUAUCAGGAGAUUUAUAUCGAAUUUGUCUGGUAGGAUUCGUGCUUUCAGUCCUCUUCUUAAAUUGAAAGCCGAUCAAGAGUUUAUUUGGGGAGAAGAACAGCAGUUGGCUCUCGAUGAAAUCAAGAAGUAUCUAGUAAAUCCUCCAGUUCUAGUUCCACCUCAACAAGGGAAGCCCUUCAGAUUGUAUUUAUCUACCGAUGGAUUGGUUAUCGGUUCAGCUUUAGUUCAAGAAUUUGAAGGGAAAGAAAGGGUAAUUUAUUAUUUGAGUAGGAGGUUGAUUGAUGCUGAAACCAGGUAUUCGGCCAUUGAGAAACUAUGCUUAUGCUUAUAUUUUUCAUGUAUCAAGCUGAGACAUUACCUGUUAUCGGCCGAAUGCACUGUUGUUUGCAAAGAUGACGUGGUCCGAUACAUGCUAUCUAUGCCGAUUAUGAGUGGUAGGAUCGGUAAAUGGAUUUUAGCGCUGUCGGAGUUCGAUUUGCGUUACGAAUUGGCUAAGGCAAUCAAAGGGCAAAUUAUGGCCAAUUUUGUGACUCAGCAUUGCGGUCUAGUGGAAACCUUGGAAAUUGUACCCUGGACGCUCUUCUUUGAUGGAUCUACCUGUGACCGGGGGGCAGGAAUCGGCAUUGUAUUAGUUUCCCCUAAGGGGAGGAAGUAUGAGUUUUCCUUGCCGAUUGUUUCCACAUCAACAAAUAAUCAGGCUGAGUAUCAAGCUCUGAUCAAGGGAUUGGAGUUGUUAAGAGAAGUUCGUGCUGAUGCUGUUGAAAUAUUCGGGGAUUCUAUGUUGGUUAUAAAUCAAUUGGCCGGAAGCUAUGAAUGCCGAAGUGAAGUUCUCAUAACUUAUUUCGAGAGAAGUAUGCAACUAUUAAAGGAAUUCAAGGAUUUCCGAUUGGAGCAUGUUCCCCGAUUGCAUAAUGAAGACGCUAAUCGGUUAGCUCAGCAUGCCUCGGGAUAUCAGCCAAUGAUUAAUGCGACAUCGGCAGUCGGUGCCGGUGAUUGGAGGGAAGAAAUUAUUGAUUAUCUAACAGAUCCAUCCAAAAAAGUUGAAAGACGGGUUCGAUUUCAAGCAACCAAGUAUGCGCUCCUUGAAAAUGAAUUGUAUUAUCGAAUUAUCGACAGAAUUCUUCUCCGAUGCUUGGGUGAUGAUGAAGCUAGAGGUUUGAUGGGGGAAAUCCAUGAAGGAGUGUGUGGAGCGCAUCAGUCAGCUUUUAAGAUGAAGUGGAUGAUUCGAAGGAAUGGAUAUUUUUGGCCGACCAUACUUGAAGAUUGUUUUAAAUAUUUCAAGGGAUGUCAAGGUUGUCAAAAGUUUGGUAAUAUCCAGAGAGCACCCGCAUCGGCUAUGAAUCCUAUAAUAAAGCCUUGGCCGUUCCGGGGAUGGGCCAUCGAUCUGAUCGGCCAGAUUUAUCCACCAUCUAGCAAAGGGCAUAAGUUUAUUCUAGUUGCCACUGACUAUUUCACUAAGUGGGUUGAAGCUAUUCCUUUGAAGAAAGUCACAUCGGCCAAUAUGAUUGAUUUUGUGAAGGAGCAUAUUGUUUACCGAUUUGGGAUUCCCCAAACGAUUACUACCGAUCAGGGCACCAUGUUCACAUCGGGGGAGUUCGAUGAAUUCGCAAUCGGUAUGGGAAUUAAAGUGUUGAAUUCUUCUCCUUAUUAUGCUCAAGCCAAUGGGCAGGCCGAAGCGUCUAACAAAGGAAUUAUCAAGCUUAUUAAACGAAAGAUUGAAGAAAAUCCUAGGCGGUGGCAUACAUUAUUAAAUGAAGCAUUAUGGUCUUAUCGGAUGGCUUGUCAUGGAUCGACCAAGGUAUCACCCUAUCAAUUGGUGUAUGGACAUGAUGCAGUGUUGCCUUGGGAAAUUAAGGCUGGAUCUAGGCGAUUAUCUUUUCAAGAUCAAUUAACUUCCGACGAUUAUGCCACUUUGAUGACCGAUGAAUUGGAUGAUCUAGCAGGGCAUCGGUUAAAAGCUUUAAUGAGUAUAGAAGAAAAUAAGAAGAGAGUUGCUAGAUGGUAUGCUAAGAAAGUGAAGGCUAAAGAGUUUGCCGAUGGGGAUUUGGUAUGGAAAGUAAUUUUACCAAUUGGGACCAAAAGUUCGAAGUUUGGAAAGUGGUCUCCUAAUUGGGAGGGUCCUUAUCGGAUAAGUCGAUCGGCUCCUGGUAAUGCCUACAUUCUAGAAACCCUCGAAGGAAUUGAAUUUCCCAAAGCAUUAAACGGCAAAUAUUUAAAGAAGUACUACCCCAGUAUAUGGGUCGAUGCAUAGAAGAUUAGGUGCCGAUAACACUCCUAUCGGCUGGAUCCAAAUGCUUGGGGACAAGACUUGGUGUUUCAAAAGUUUAGGCGCCGAUAACAGUCCUAUCGGCUAGACUAAAAGCUGAGGAUACAAUGCCGAUGGAAACUCUAUGUGUUAAGCAGCGUCUGGAUUGCCGAUAUAGCGCGUAGCCGAAUUUGGUUGGCUGCUUCUAUCUCCUUGAUGUCAUCAUCGGCAGAACCUUCUAUCGGCUUCAGCUUCUUCUUCAGUUGGAGUGCUUUGCGACCAUGAGCAUUUCGCUCGCGCUCAAGAAGCCUGAUGGUCUCUGGCAAUUGGCUCUCUUCCUGUUGGGCUUGGGACAGAGCGUUCUCUACUUCCUUGAGCUCCGCCAACAGAGACUCUUUUCUUGCCGAUAGAUCGGAUAUCUUCUGCUUCAGCGCGUCUCCAGAAGAUCUCAGGAUACCGAUGUUCUUGUGCUUCUCAUCGGUCAAAAGCUUCUCUUUCCUCAUUUCAUCGGAGAGUUGAGUCUGAGCGGCUCUAUCGGCAAGCCGCCGAGAAGCUCUUUGGUACUGCAGCUGGCGACUCUCCAGAUGAGCGGCUUGGAACAGGAUUUCUUCAACAUCGGCUGGGAUUUGUCCUCUGAGAGUUCUGAACAGGGUCUUGGUAGGGUCGGAAUCAUCAACCAAUUGCGCUGUGUUCUGGUGAAGGAGAGCUGACAAUUCUUCCAGCCUGACCCUGACCUCUGCCGAUGUGAUGCCGACCGUCUGAGAAGUGCUUGCUUCUUCACCUUCUUCUUCAGAGAAAUCGAUGGCGAAGGAGAACAGGCUAUCGGGAGAAUCUUGUUCGUGGGAGGGAAAGCAAAAUUAGCUCAUACUUAGAGAAUCGGCAAAUAGUGCUAACGGUAAACGGUGACUUACUUGCUUCAAGGUGAUCUCUUGUCUGUGACUGAGAAGUGCUGAUGGAGCUGCAGGCUGAUCGGCCAAAGAUGCCGAUGGAGCUGCAGGUUGAUCGGCUGAGAUUGCCGAUGGAACAAUAUCAACUGAAAGAAGACAAAAGGAGUUAUGAGACUAGAUAAGAAUAAGUUCAUCGGUAGCGAUAUUGUUAAAGUAUGUUACCUGGAGGAGGGACAACGGUUGUCUGAACCGGGAGAACUGCCGAUGGUAUAACUGGACCCACCGGGCCAGUUGUUUGUUCACCCAUGUCAACUGAUGUAUCUUCUGUUUGAGAUCCUUCCUGUUGGGGUUCUUCUGUCUGUGGUGCUUCCCGCAUAGGUGGGGGAGAUGGUGCUUGCUGUGGCUGGGCUUCUGGAGAAGAAGGAGAAGAUUCCACCGGAAUUGGAGAUACCGGAGGAGGAGGGGGGAUUGCUACCUUCUGGCGCUUUGUUCCAGUCUUAGCACCCGUGGUGCCCUUUCUCUUGGGUUGGCUAGACUGGGGGGCAUCGGUACUCUCACGCCUAGUUUUCGCCGAUGCGCCGGUUUGCUGCAAUAAUGAACAAGAGUUUAUAAGCAUAAAUAUAGCCGAUAUAAAGAUGGUCAGCAUAAAGGAAAAGAUUUGACAAAUUGCCUUGAAAGCCCGCGCGAGAGUGGGAGCAGCUACCGUUGGUGAUGUCUGGGUUCUUCUGGUGGUGACUUUCCUGAGACGUACACCCCGAUGCACGAUGGAAGCUAGAGUAGGAGCAUUGUGGCCGAUUGAGGAAAUCGGGCCUGCCGUUUGUGCGAAUAUCCUGGUCAGAACAUCGGCAGAUCUUUGUAACAGUAUUGUUGCCGAUGUACGGGUGAGAAAAAUGCCCGUGUAGAAAGUUGGGGAUUUCGAGAAAUCUGCGGAGGAAUAGGAUCAGAGUUGUUCAGAUUGAGGUUGUCGGUUACCAGAUUAGGAGCAUUAAUUGCGGGAAAAGGCAUCAUUACUGCAGAGAAUUUCGGAGCAUUAAUAGUUUUAUACUCCGAAACUGAGGGGCAUGUGUUGACACCGUUUUUGGGCACGUGUCUGGGAUGGCAGGAUAAGGUGGCAGUACGAUGUUUACAAAGUGGGUUGCCGAUGAGGAUGGUUGCCGAUGAGGGAGAGGUUGAACGUGAUUAAGUCCACAGGCAGUAAUAUGGUGCCGAUGGCUAGAUAAGAAAGUCUGCCGAUGACUAUGGCAAAGGGUCUGCCGAUGAUGCAAAGAGGGAGUCCGGAAGCUGUCGGUCGUUAUGUGGAGGAGUUUCAGUUUGUCACGAGGGAUAGUUUUGUUAUUUCCUUAAUUAUUUGCAUCGUUUUGUAUACAGAUUCCGUGUAAUUUGGAAUUCGAAUUCUAAUCGUGUCUGGUUGUAGCUCUUUGAGCAGGGUAUAAAUGUAGACCCUAGGGCCUUGUAAUAGAUCAUCAAUCAAGAAAUCAAUCAAACACACGUUUUUACUCAUAUUCCAGCAUCUACUUUUCGACGACUUUGUCACACUUUUUCCUUUUAUUACGAGUUCUUAGGAAUUCGCCGACUUAAGCUCGGCGUGUUCUCGAGUUCCGCGUGAGUACCUCUUAGCCGUGACAUCCGGGCGCAUCGCUGUUGUCAGGACUAAAGUAUUCGAGUUAUCACCUUUGCCGAUAGUAAGGUCAAAUCGGCUGGCACGCCUUAACGCUUGAAUCGGGUAUUAGCCCUUUGUGUUUGCAGACCAGUUUUGCAUCAACACCUUUCCACCUCCUGCUGAGAUGGUGAACGGCUACUGCUUGCUUGAUCGCUUCGCGGGGCCAACUGGUGUCUAGGGACCCCUUUUAGACCAGUCCUCUUGCGCGGAGUCUGCUUCCAAUGGCCCAUCAUGUAGAGGGUAAGUUUGGAUUAGUAGGGAGACCUUAAAGGUUAGCAAGAAUGGGAUUGAUUCUAUACAACCCAACCCAAACAAGGAGGAAGGAACUUAACCAAGUGAUAUAUCGUGAUGCAUGCACGAACUUACGAAUCGUACUAGAAAUUCGUAACAAUAUUACUUAAAAACUUUACAACAUAGGGCAAUACUUUAUGUUGCUCCUCCACACCACUUCAAAAAUUCUAACAAGCCUACAGACAGGGGUAAGAUAGGACUAAAGCACUUGGACUCAAAUUAGGCAAGUUUACAGUAUUGGAUCCAAAUGGUUUUGAAGUUUUUCAAAGGAUACAACAGUCAUCUUAGUAGCGAAUGCUCUGAUACCAGCUGUGGCAGAACCUCCUAAGUGUUUGGGCCCACCGACACCAGUCAUUGUCCUGAGGACCUCUGACGGUGAUGCCGGGGAUCCUCCCACUCUAGAAGUCCGAUGAGCAUCUCAGGACGCUCAUUCCACCGCUACCUGUGGCGUAUCAAGCAAGCUCGUCCUGACCACUACUGAUGGUCAAUUAACGAGAACUUCUUCUUCUCGCCCUUACAGGAUAGCAAGUGGCCACCUUAACACCAGGAUCACUCGUUGCGAAGACAUUGCAGUAUCACAAACGACAUAAGACCAAAAUAAUAUUUCAGAGUAAAGCAGCGGAAGUAUUACAUAACUUAAUUUACAAAAGUAGUUCUUCCAAAUAGUAGAGUGUUAUUACAAGCCAGGUCCAGCGGAGCAACUUAAACUUUAGUACACAGAUUACAAACAUACAGACCCUGCCCAUGGGUCACGCUCACUCUUCCUCGUCGUCAACCUCGACGACGGACACACAACAGGGUCAGAAACAUGUCGUCUCCUGAACUUCACCUGCAACAGGGGUUAUAAAACCCUGAGUACGGGAGUACUCAACAAGACUUACCCGGCGGAAAAAAAAGGAGAAAUUAGGUAUGCAGGCUUGGGGUAGACAAGGAGUGGCUGAGCAAGGAGUCAAAUUGUUUUGCUAAAAAGCUUACUAAUAGUGCAUCCUUACUUUCAAGUUUUACCCACGAAUUCCUCAACUUAAGAGGUCGAGGAGUUCGAGGACAGUCUAUCUAGUUGCUUCUCACAGACAAGUCUAUAAGUUUCUAAUCCUUAAUCAAAGUAUUUACUAUCCAACGGCCAUAGCUUCAUGUCACUCUGAGUCCGGGAAUUGGGAUCCGAACCUCAUGAGACAUUUCCCCCUUUCUCAUUUUAUCACUUAGUUGCAUAAUUAACUACGAUGAGGGUCAGUGGAUUGAGUCUCCUAAUCGUGGAGCAACGACGAUUCUAACCGCUUAGCAAUCCAGCUGGAGUUCCUAACCACCCGACUUAUGUAGAACCAAAUCUUGCAAAUGUCAAUCCAACUCAAGCUUUCCCCAAAUUUGACUAGGUUCGCGGCACCCGAGAGCACAGUACUCCACCAUCCUACAGCCGAUCUAGAUGUUUUCCGGUCAUCUUAGAUCCGUAAGGUGGGUACACGCUACUCUCGCCAUCGCUCCACGCCCAGUGCCCGAGUAGCUAUUCGCGUCGAGGGAUCACAACACCGGGCUAACCGAGGGCAAGUGGCUAGUACUAUAAAUUCUCAACCUAGCGGGCCAUCAACGGACCGGUCCUUAACUGACACAGUUGGAGACACUACUUUAAGACUCCAUUCUUAAAGCAAGUCCACCAACCGGUCUCAAAUUGAAACUUCAUUGAUCAUAAAUGUAUUCCACAACAACCCUUCAAACUUUCUUGUUUGAAAACCUAUCUAGUAGCAGGGCUAAGCAUCACUAUGCAGUUUUAAAAUAAAAUAGGUGUCAAGGACAGGAUAACAAAUAUCAAGGAAUAUCAAGGUAGUAAAUGUAGCAAGUAGGUUAACCUAAUUCUCAACUACCUAAUGUAGCAUUUUCAAUUCAUAAGUGAUAAAAGAUUUAAAACAUUCAAGGAGGGGUUAAUGCAUCCGGGGCUUGCCUUGGUUGCAGAGCGGAGAGGGACCCUCGGAGACUUCCCAAGUAUCGGAUCCUACUUCCUCGAACGGAGCACCGACCUCGGGGUUCGGUUCAAUGGUCGCUCCUUCGGUCACGUGCACUAUACGCAAAGUGAUGGAUGCUCAUGAUAUGCGUAUGACAAAUAUUUAAGAAGGACCGAGUUAAGUACAACUGGCCUUCUCGAUGCAGUACAGACUAAACAAUAAUUAAAGUUGUUUAUCAUUUUAGUUUCUUUACCCAAGAGGUUGCAUCAGUAAACUAAGACUCCUCUUAAUUCACAAUUAUCCUUAAUUAAGUAAUUAUUAAUCCUUUCUACCUUAAUUAAUUCUUAAUUAAGUAUUAAUGACAGUAAUUAAGCAUUAAUACCAAACAAUAAUUAAAUGCCAAAGGUCAAUAAGGCUAAUGACCUCAGGUCAUCACACAAUUCUAAAAUCACUCAAACCCUAAUAUUGAGAAUUUAAACUAAUUAUUAUCUAAUUAUUCUAGAAUUAUUAUUUAACUACUAAUUAAGGGUUUAAUAAUAUUUUAUUCAAACAGUAUCCAAAUGCCACCAAAUUUUGUGUGAAGCCAGGGAAUAAUAUUCAGAGGCAUCCCACAAAUUUUGGUGAUUUUUGGACAUGCAAUUAAAUUAUUAAAAUUCAUAGAAGUUUUAUUUGCUAAUUAAAAGAGGCAAUUUUUAUAUACAUGCAAACUACCAGAAAGUAGAAUCUAAUAUUUUUCCCAUGUUCCAUUCAUUUUAUGGAAUCUAUACAAAAAUUUCCAUGAUUUUUGAAUUGGUAUCAAAUUUUCUACACAAAAUCAAACAUACAUCACAUUUUGUAAAAAAAGAAGAAAACACUGUGCUGCGAGCGGCUGUUGACGGUCCUUAAUGCUCACAUUUAACCAUCAAUUAAUCAUGGAAAAGGAUCCAAAUACAACCAACACCUAGACUUAGGGUUUUAUCUGACAGAAUUCCACGAGUUUUGGUGUUUGUCUAUUUCUGCAGGGGGUUAUCAGGAAAUACGGAAGAAAGGCCCACACGUCGGGUUUACAUAGAGAUAUUAACGUGCCGCGCAAUUUUCUAUCAUCUAGAAGACUCCAGAAGCCACGGGACCGAAGCGGAGGCCGAGAGGGCUCAGGCACAGGGCGCCCGCCCUAGUCCCUUGGGCGCCCGCCCACUUCCAGAGACCAAUUCGGUCACGUUUCGCGGACAACGCUCCACCGACCUAAAGGAUCAAGGAAAACCGUGCGAUCAAUGUCGGUUUGAUCCGACGGCCCAGAUUCACUUGAAGGGACUAUAAAACCAGACCUCCCUGGCCCCUGGAGAUCAUACCUCUUCUACAGAAUCAAAGUUAGGGUUUCAAUUCUUCAUCCAAGUAGAGAGGAUCCCUCUAGUUCUUCUAGUUCUACCUCUAGUUCAUCUAGAUCUAGUUCUAGUUCAUCUAGUUCUAGUUCUAGUUCCUCUAGUUCUAGUUCUAGUUAGUUCUAGUUGUAAUCUAGAAAAUAGGGAGAGAGAAGAGGAGAGCGGAGGAGGAGCCGGAUCUGUCGGAUCUUCCUCAACAUUGUACUUUUGCAGCAACUGGUUCGUUCUUCAUCGUUCUCCAGGUUCUUCAAUUCAUAACUCCUGAGUUCUCUAAUUACUUUUAUUUACAUUCAAGUUAUUUAUUGGAUUCCCGCUUGCAUCAAGUGCUCUAGUCUUUAUAACGCUAGAGUAGUAAUUAAUAGAUUAGACGUGGUGUUUAGUCUUGCGAUUACCUGAAAUUGCACCCAAUCCUACGGAUUGUUGUGGUAGCCCUAGGGUAGCCCUAACGGUCGACGUAUUCCACCACGUUCGGAUCGGUGUUUGUAGGACCGUAGUCAGACCUUCCUAGCCCCCUUCUCAUCUCUUUCUGUGGUUAGUGCUCUGAUGUCCCGAUAUAGAUAAUCUUGAAGUAAUUCUUGAUUCUUAGAUCAACUAGAGAACUCUCAGGAAACUUCCUCUCUUCCCACCAAAAAUAAUUAUAUAGUUAUCCUUGGGCGAUCUUGGAUCUUAAUUAGUACACUCACGUUCUCUGUGGAAAAUCGAUACUCUGGAAUACUCCCGGGUGAAAGCUACAUCGGUAUCCGUGCGCUUGCGGAUUUUUCUGUUUGCGUUUAAAAUACCCAACAAGCUUUCUGGCGCCGUUGCCGGGAAACGGUAGCUGUGCUAGUUUCGAACCAAGUCGUCCGUGUAUCCUGUUUCUUUUCCUUUUUUACCACUCACCUUAUCAUUUUCACCAUACCACAUGGAUUUCACUCUAAGCAUUAAUGAGCAUGGAAUUUAUUUCAUAGCCACUUCAUUUACUCCAUGCUCAUAUGCAACAUCUUCACAAUCCAUUGGUCUCUCCAACAUCACCACAUUCAAGAUCUCCAACCCCCUCUUCCUUUCUAUUCAUAAAAACUUUAAAAGGGCGGUUGUCGAUGCAUAUGUCUAUAUUAAAUAUUGCAGAUCUCGUUGAGUUGAUCUUGAUAUAAGUCAGCGUUGGAGGGGAAACCACUUCACUGACAUAAAUUGAUGGUUUCCCAAGGACAAGCUUAGUGUCCUAAAACAAGCACUGAUAAGAUUGUAACAUGAGCUUUUAAUUAUUUGCAACAUUAACUUGUGUAUUGAGCAUAUAUGGAUAAUUGUAAAAAUAUUCCUUCGGGUAUUCUUGUCACUAAGCUUUCUAGGAUUGGAGCAAGAAGAUCGAAUAAAUGACAAGCACAAGGUAUGUCCAACCAAUCAUCAUACAACAUUGAAUUAAAUUCAUCCAAACUUGAAUUUUGCAAAAUUCAAGCUUGGGAGAGUACUUUACAUUAAAAACAUCCUUUGCCAUGUUGCUAUGUUGGUUGUCCCUACCUUUAAGACAUGCUCAAUUUUGUUAAAUACUAAUCACACUACUUCAUCUCCACUUGAGUAGAUCUCUAUAAAUGCUCUCAUGCUACCUUUAUUUGCUUUAGUAUAUGUCUAAGUUUGGAGUAGUUUUAUUUAUCUCUUAAGUCAGCGUUGGAGGGUUUUUAAAUCAAGCUUGGUGCUUAGGUUAAAAUGCCCUCCUAAAUCAAAUUAGACAUGGUGUCAAGGUUGAUUUUUGAACCGAUUGUAUGCUAUAGUAGAUAUGGGAUAUUUUGUUGGACUAACCCCUGCAGGAAAACUAUCAAUAUCGACCUGGGAAGUCCUGAGACAAACUCACAUUGGAGACAAAGAGAGAGACGCAUGAAGGUUAACAAUUUACACAAGGAAGGCAUAGCUCACAAGAGAUGAUCCAUGGAGGGUGCCACAAACACGAUGCAUAACCGCUAAGAAAGGGAAGCUUCCACAAGGUGAUACUGUACCAUCAUUCUUCAAGUAAGGUAACAUCUUAAGGUACUUGACUAUCACUUUUAUAAGUUUCUCCUUAUUUCUGGCGUUCACAUGAAUAAAAGAGACAAACAUGUAUGAUUUACAACUCUAGAUUAACCAACUCAAUCGAUUCAACAUGUUUAGUCCUUCCACCUUUGUGAUUCCACACUCCUAAUCAUAUAAGCUAAAAUGUUGCACACUCAAUCUUUGGAAGAUAUAAACAAAACAUAUAUAUAGAUAGAUUAUCUUUCCAUAAGGUUGAGCAAUCUAAUCUGACAAAUGUUAAAUGCUACACUCAUGAUCUUAUUAUCCAUCAAUUUUGUCUUGCUCACUAUGCUUAAGGUUAGAGAGAACAAAUACACUUUUGGUUCUGUUGGUGUUUUCCACCAACAGGGCCCAUGCACUUGAUCUCUGCCUUGUCUCUAUGAGCAGGUACACUUUGAGCAAAAUAUGAAGGAGUUUUUCAACUCCCAGACUCCACCGAGUGAAGAACCUAGAUCUAUGAGCACAAACACACUGGAGAUACUGGACACUCAGGCAAUCACUGCCUUGAGAUGCUUGAGGACGUAACUACUGGAGUAACCCCAUUAUGGAAGUAAUUACUGACCUUCUGCCAGUCAAGAAAGGCAAUCCAGGAUGCACCGUCAUCCCGAUCUCCUCUGGCAUGCUUGCAGAUCGUAUGCUAAGUUUCCCAAAGGGAAUAUUGAAGAACCUCUACGUCUGAGUUGGUACCUUAUACGUUCCAGCAGACUUCAUGGUGAUAGAGACUGAUACUGAUCAGAGGGCACCCAUCCUAGGGAGGCCAUUCCUGAACACCUCAGGAGCUAUCAUCUACGCUAGUACUGCCAAGAUCAGUUUCUACAUCAAGGGGAGGAAGAAGACGUUUUCCUUCAAGAACAAGACUACACAAGUCUCAGAGCAAUCCUGACAUGAACCAAGGAAGAGGACCAACCGGAGGAACAGGAACAAGCAAGUGUGGACCAAGUCAGCUAAAAUGGUCACUACAGUUCAAGGAUGACAAGCCCGUCGACUUAAGUCACCAUUCGUGACCAAAAAGGACGACCCAAGUAUGCCAAGCAUCCAGUGCUCCAUUAAUGGAUACAACUUCCAGAAGAAGCUUUACGACACCGGGUCAGGCGUCAACAUAAUGGCCGCAGUCACCUAUCAGCUUCUGUUAGGAACCAUGCCCUUAAAACCGACAUACACCCAGCUCCAGAUGGCAGAUCAAACAUUUCGGAAGGUUGAAGUUAUUGACAUAGGAGAAGACGAGUACGAUCCACCCAUCAUCCUUGGAAGACCGUUCCUCAACACCGUUAAAGCAAUCAUCUACAUUGGAACCGGCGGAGUCCACAUGCACUUCCCCUCUGAAAAGGUACGCCACUAUUUUACUAACCUUAACUACAUAGUUGAAAGACUCUAAGCAAGUCAGGACAAGAAGAAGACGACGCAACCGCAACCAGAGUAGGCAAAUUAUCAAGGACGAAUGGGCGGAUUAUGAAGGAGAAGUGGUAAGGUCUGAAAACAUACAACUUGAACAGAACUGUCCUGAGGAGACCGUAGCACCGUGUCAGGUGUGGAGAGAAAUGAUAGUUAUACAUGAAGACCAGGCGCUGCCGGAACCACUGACUACGCCAUCCAACGAAUCCCAGGACAACUGAGAAAAUAGAGAGUCCUGUUCGGAGGACUUAAAAACACCGAACGCCUUGGUAAGAGUUAAACUUGGUAGUUAUCCUUUUUCUCUUUCAAUUAUUUAAAAUAGUUUGCUUAGUUAAUCAGGUUCAUAUCAUCUUAAAAAGAAAAUAAAAAUGUUAAAAAUAGUAAGCCUCAUGUGAGUAUGCUCAUGGCAUAAAACCCAUAAGUACAUUCACUGUGGUGGCCUAAAAAUAAAUAUAUAUUCCUGUCCUAUAAAAAGGAAAUUAUAAAAAUAGAUUUAUGAUCCUACUAAAGAGUGUAAUAUUUAUUGAGGAGGCUCAACAUGAUAAAGGCUAAGAGAUUUUAUGCUAACAUUUAACCAGUUCCACAAAGCUUUGUUGUCUAUUUGAGCUCCACAGAAUUCAAGGAUCAAAGAAGACUAGCAGACAAAGGACAUCCUAAUCGCUGUCAGAGUGCUGCCGACAUUCAAAUACACCUCCGCCACCUGCUAGCUACAUCAGAAGAAAUUAUGUCAAAAUCCAGCUUGGGGGAGAGCACCCCCAUUUAUCCAGCUAAGUGUUCUACUCACGUUUAUACUUUACUCAAAUAAUAAAAAAAAUGCAUAAUCAUAAAAACCCAAAUAAAGAUUUUGUGCUUAUAUAUAUAUAUAUCUUUGCUUAGUUUGCUAAAUAAAAAAAAAUAAAUCAAGAUAACUAUUAUUUUUCUUUCUUAGUUUUAUUUACUAGUAUUCGGAAAUAAAAAAAAUGCAUAACCAUGAAACCAAACACAGUUUUUGUUUUGAGUAAUAUAUAAUAGUUUUAUGUAAUACUAAGUUUUAAAUAAAAUAAAAAGAAAGUUUGAUUCAAGUCUAGGUAAUUGACAAACAUGAUAUGAGAAGGUCUGAGCUACUAUUUAACUUGUUCCAAGUUUUGCUAGAGUUCUGGAGAUUUUAUCUUUUGAAAAUUUAAAAAUUCAUAAAAAAAAAUAUGAGAUCAUAAUACCUAGAGUCUUAUAAGAAAUAAAUAUUAAAACUGUGGGUACUUUCUUUGUUCAAGCCAUUGUUAAUUCUUGUAGUUUUGGUUGAGAGAAUUAUCAUGCUCCCAAGAUCAAGAUCUUUUUGUUUUAAAAAUAUAAAAGAUUCACUCUUCCAAAGUAUUAUUGCGUUAGAGGCAUGGGACUAUGCAAAAAAAUUUGAUUCGAAAAAAAAGAGUGAGAUGAGAGGUAAAAAUGGACAAGUGUCCGAAGUAGAAUUAGGGGUACAAAGAUACCCACCUGAGUGGAAAAAAAUGGACAUGUGUCCGACAGUAGAAUUAGGGGUACUUGCUGCCCACUUGGAAAAAAAAGACUAAAAAAAAAGAAGAAAAAAAAGGAAAAAAAAUGAUAGCCCAUGGUCCCUCUAAUAAGCAAUAUGCCAGUAAGAGAUGACAAACUCUUCAAAAAGGUCAAAGGUCUUGAUCUAGGAGUAUGACAUUCCUCUCCCUUGCUCCGAGCAUUGACAUAGCAAAAUGCAAAGUAAGUAUGCUAAAAUUUUUAAAGCUCUACUUAUAUAUCUUUCGAGAAGAAGGCAAAUGCCUUAGAUUUAUUUUGGAAACUUACAAACAACUCCAGAACAAAGGUAAGACAGAAGAACUUGAGACAUAGUGCUUGACUUGAUCAUUUUGUUUUUCAAUCACUUAAGACCUUAGUGAUAACUUAAAACCCCUUUAGUAAAAGGCAUAAAAGUAACCCCUGUUUUCUUGAUGAUUUUAGCUUUGCUCAGGGACGAGCAAAGGUUAAGCUUGGGGGAGCUUGUUGACGGUCCUUAAUGCUCACAUUUAACCAUCAAUUAAUCAUGGAAAAGGAUCCAAAUAUAACCAACACCAAGACUUAGGGUUUUAUCUGACAGAAUUCCACGAGUUUUGGUGUUUGUCUAUUUCUGCAGGGGGUUAUCAGGAAAUACGGAAGAAAGGCCCACACGUCGGGUUUACAUAGAGAUAUUAACAUGCCGCGCAAUUUUCUAUCAUCUAGAAGACUCUAGAAGCCACGGGACCGAAGCGGAGGCCGAGAGGGCUCAGGCACAGGGCACCCGCCCUAGUCCCUUGGGCGCCCGCCCACUUCCAGAGACCAAUUCGGUCACGUUUCGCGGACAACGCUCCACCGACCUAAAGGAUCAAGGAAAACCGUGCGAUCAAUGUCGGUUUGAUCCGACGGCCCAGAUUCACUUGAAGGUACUAUAAAACCAGACCUCCCUGGCCCCUGGAGAUCAUACCUCUUCUACAGAAUCAAAGUUAGGGUUUCAAUUCUUCAUCCAAGUAGAGAGGAUCCCUCUAGUUCUUCUAGUUCUACCUCUAGUUCAUCUAGAUCUAGUUCUAGUUCAUCUAGUUCUAGUUCUAGUUCCUCUAGUUCUAGUUCUAGUUAGUUCUAGUUGUAAUCUAGAAAUUAGGGAGAGAGAAGAGGAGAGCGGAGGAGGAGCCGGAUCUGUCGGAUCUUCCUCAACAUUGUACUUUUGCAGCAACUGGUUCGUUCUUCAUCGUUCUCCAGGUUCUUCAAUUCAUAACUCCUGAGUUCUCUAAUUACUUUUAUUUACAUUCAAGUUAUUUAUUGGAUUCCCGCUUGCAUCAAGUGCUCUAGUCUUUAUAACGCUAGAGUAGUAAUUAAUAGAUUAGACGUGGUGUUUAGUCUUGCGAUUACCUGGAAUUGCACCCAAUCCUACGGAUUGUUGUGGUAGCCCUAGGGUAGUGACAGCCCUAACGGUCGACGUAUUCCACCACGUUUGGAUCAGUGUUUGUAGGACCGUAGUCAGACCUUCCUAGCCCCCUUCUCAUCUCUUUCUGUGGUUAGUGCUCUGAUGUCCCGAUAUAGAUAAUCUUGAAGUAAUUCUUGAUUCUUAGAUCAACUAGAGAACUCUCAGGAAACUUCCUCUCUUCCCACAAAAAAUAAUUAUAUAGUUAUCCUUGGGAGAUCUUGGAUCUUAAUUAGUACACUCACGUUCUCUGUGGAAAAUCGAUACUCUGGAAUACUCCCGGGUGAAAGCUACAUCGGUAUCCGUGCGCUUGCGGAUUUUUCUGUUUGCGUUUAAAAUACCCAACAGUGGCCCGGGAAUUCGGCCCGCAGGCCGGCCCACGCGCACUCGGCCCAAAAGCGCGCUGCGCGCGGCCUCGCCUCCACUCACGGCGUCGCUGACAGCGGGCCCCCGCUGUCAGCUUCGUCUUCAAGCUUCGGCCGGCCAAAUCAACGGCACGACCGAGACAUCCGCGCCAUCUCCGCCCCUCGCGACUCGCUGGUCGCGUUCUCCACUCCAGGGCGCACCUCUGGACCCCCUGAGCACUCGUUCUCUCCUAGCCUAGCCCUCGUGGCCACAGGCACGGCGGACGGCCGCGUCGGCCGGGCAAACGCCGGCCGCCACGAGCGAGUAGAACGCAAAUUGGAUGGCGUAUAAGCAUCGGUGGCUCACCGCGACUUCAGCGAAGCAAACGACGGCGGUAGAGGAGCUCGGAGCAUGCCUAGCCGCGGUGAGGUGCUCGCGGCGGCGCUUUUACCGGAGUUGGGAACGACGGCUUGGAGUGGAGCUACGGCAGGUUAGAGCUUGCGCUCGGGGGCGCAAUUGAUGGCUAAGAGCUUGGCGAAGCUAUUGGAGUGCUCGGGUGGCUUGGAAGGGAAGCAUGCGAGGUGAACUUGGGGAGCGGAGUAAGUUCGUCGGCGUUGAGUGGAAAGGAGGAAAAAUGAGGCGGCCAGGCAGUGUGGUUGCUAAGGGGAGUGGAUGAGCACGCCGGGGGCUUGUCCACUUCAUGGCGGGCUCGCGCAGCCAAGCAGCUGCGUGGCUAGGCGCGUGGUGGCGCGUGCGAAGGCGGCGCCUGCCCGCCCUGCGGCCGCGGUGGACGGGCUCGUGAUCCUCAUCGGAUCACUGUAGCCGUCCCUUAUCCCCUCUUCUCUGUUUUUUGCAAAAUUCACCCAAAAAUUGAACUGGAGCCAAUUUUUCACCAAAAUGAAAGUUGUGCAAAAUUUUACAAUCUACAAAACUCCUUUUGGUGACCAAGGCUAAUUCUGAGUGGAAAUUGGUGAAUUUGACAAAACAGUUUGAAAUUCAAAUCUCAAUUUAGGGAAAUUCAAAUUUUUGAAUUGGGGGCAGAUCAGAAUUUCCAAAAUUACUUUUGAUUUUCUAGAACAACAUGAAAAAUUCCCAACAUUAAAGUUGUUCAACUUUUUGAGCUCUACAACUUUCAUGUUGGUCACUUUUCAAGAUUCCAAAUAGAUUUUGAAUUGUUGAUUCAAAUUGGAAACAGGGGACACUUUCUAGAAAUCUAUAUUUUCAAAAUUACUUUGAAUUUUGUAUUGAAACUUCAAAAUCUCAAAACACCAAAGUUGUACAUCUUGACAAGAUCUACAACUUUGCUUUUGAACUCAACUUCAAAUUUUGCUUAGUUUUUAAAUUGCACAAAAGGGGGCAAAACAAGGCUUUUUAAAAAUCAGGGUUUUUCCACCCCAUUUCUCUCGGAAAUCUUCCACCCUAGGAAUUAUACAACCAACACAAGCAUCACUUCACAACAUAAGCACACUUUAAUUCCCUAAGCACAAACAAUCAAAAUAAAAUUGUUUUAAGUUGAUGCAUAAUAAUGUGCUUAACAGGUAUGCGAUGCAAUGAUCAUGAUGACAUGAUCCAGUUUUAGUAACCGUAACAUUAGGGAUGUUACAUCAUCCCACCAGGCUAAUAGAAGGCUAGACCCCCCUGGAGGAGGCCAGAUCAAGAGAUAAAGAUCAGAGCAUUAGAUAGAGAUCCACUAGAUCUAGGCUAGCAAUCAAGAUAUAGAUUAGAGGGAUAGAGUAGACGAGUAAAGAUUCAGAGGAGUCCCGGCCUGUCGGAGCUUCCUCAGGAGCUGUAUUUUUCUGGAUUCGGCUCCCUUGUCCGGAACCGCGUUCUGAGGUACUUUUGUAUUUACCCUUCUGAUUCAAGUAAGCAACUUGUUUGUAUUCAUUCUUUGGUUUGAAUCUCAUACUAUAUUGAGUACUACGAUUUGGGUAGCUCCUAGGUCGGAGUAGUGGUUCGUAGCAUUGACGUGGUAGUUCAUGUAGGUGACUUUAUAGCUGUUUUGAUUCCUUUGUAGUCAACUUUCCGUUGAUAGGAUUGAUAUGCUUAUAGGUUCCUGAUAGGGGAUUACUCUGAUUCUUUCCCUAUUUGGGUUACUUGCUCGAUAAGACGAUACUAUACAAAGUUUAUCGGUUAUUGGAACUAGAGUACAUUAGUAUUUCCUCAUGAUCAAUAGUUUUCUAGAUUGAUUGUACCCUUUUAGAUUAUGAAAUUGUAGGUUAUGUCAUAAAUCACCUACUCUUCCAUUGGGUUCGAUACUAAAACCAGGUUGAUCUUUGUGAAGUGCUGAUCAGUAUAUAUCUGUGCGCUUGCGGAUAAUCUGAUUAUAAUCAUUAUUAGGGUGCAGUUAAUUUAUACCAACAAGCAUUUUUAGCGCUGUGGCCGAGGAACGGUUUGCUGAUUUUGACAUUAGUCUAUCUUAGUCUAUAGUUAUCCUUUUAUAUAUAUAAUAUAUAUAUGGAAAUUGAAUCUCAACUUUUAUAUCAAUAUAGGGCACCAUCAGGAUCGUACCUCCAGCCAAAGGAAUCUUCUAAACCUAUCACAUCAUCUCGCUAUGAGCUAUGCCCGAGACUAAUCAAAUUAGUUCAAGAACAUAUUUUUUAUGGUAACUCUAGCGAAAAUCUUAUUCCCACUUAGCUGAUUUUGAGCAGACAUGUUCAUAUCUAAGUAUUAAGGGCAUGGCCGAUGAAACUCUACGAUGGAAACUCUUUCCAUUUUCAUUAACGGGUCGAGCUAAGAAAUGGUAUAAUUGCCAUGUUGGAAAUAGUCAAGGAGACUUCGAUAUAUUACGAAAAGACUUUUGCCUUAAAUUCUCCCCAAUAGAAAAGGUCACUAAACUUUGGUUUGAAAUUAUAGGACUCAAACAAUUAGACAAUGAAUCAUUAGGCAAGGCUUGGGAUCGUUUUGAUGGCUUUGUAAAUUCUAGACCUAAUCUUGUUGUACCAGAACCCAUGCAUUUACAACAUUUCUUUUUAGGCCUCAAUGAUAGAAAUCAAGAAUACCACUAUUUGGCCUCGGGAGGAGCAUUUAUGCAUAUUACUGUUGAUCAUGCUAAAACUAUUCUUACUAAUAUUUUAAAUGAUCUCCCCGAAGAAAAAGAAGAAUUAUGAGAAGAAGAAUCUCAGUUAGCUGAAAAUAAACUUUUACUUGAUUCAUCUCAAUCUAUAGUUGAAUUAGCUAAUGAGACGAAGAUAACUCCAAAUUCUGAAUGGAUGUUUGAAAUUGAGGAUGAUUUCUUUGAUGAUUUUGGUAAUACUACAUUUUAUCAUAAGAUUAUUCAACCCCAACAAACUAGGGAUUUUAAUCCUAAUUUGUCACAUCCUGAUGAUUUAAAAUUUCAUAUAGAAGUUAUAAGGGAAUUAAUCUGUAUUUUGGGUGAUGAUUGGUUAAUAGAAUCUGAGCAAUCCCCUAAAGUGAUUCGCUUUAAUUCACCCUCGGUUGUUAUAAAGUUGCAAGUAGAUUCAUAUCCUUUUGAAGCUUUAUAGAAUCCAGUUACUGGAGUCAACAUUACGUCAUAUACUUUUGCUAAAGAAUUCUUGAGAGACAUACCAUUAAUUCCUAGAAAUAGAUUGUUAAAGAAUUGUUCAUGACACAUUAUUCCUAGCUUAGUACUUCUGAGUGCACUUCCAAUUGUUAUUAAUGAUUUUUGCAUUUUGCUAAAUUUAUGUGUGGGAUUUUAAUGUAAUGAUUGGAGUACCCAUAAUAAAACUUCUUCAAGAAGGCCGUAAUGGUAAAUUAGACAUUAAAUUUGGGAAAGGAUUUAGUUUUUCAAUGCCUAUAACUCAUGCAGUAAAAGUUAUAGCAGAACUCCUUCCUGAAUUAGAUCCAAUAGAAGAGGUUAAGACAUCCGAAUUCGAUAAUCUUAGUCAACCUGAUUUAGAAGAUGAUACCCAGUUAUUCAUCGAAGAAGAUGAAGAGGAUCCUAUUGAUCCUGAACCUCUUGAUGAACAACUAGAGCCACUUAACCUCCUAUUGAGCUUAAACCACUACCUUCUAGACAUAAAUAUGUUUUUCUAAAUAAUGAUCAAAUAUAUCCUGUGAUUAUAAGUGAUAAACACCAUGCUGCUUUUGGUUAUUCACUCCAAGACCUAAAAGUGAUUAACCUUGUUCUUUGCACCCAUCGCAUGCUAACGAAUCCAGAAAUUACACCUUCGAGAGAGCCUCAGUGUAGACACCAGAGUACGAUGAGAGAAGUAGUAAAGAAAGAGAUCUUAAAGCUUUUGCAUGCGGGGAUUAUAUAUCCUUUACUGUAUAGUGAGUGGGUAAAUCCUAUGCACAUUGUACCUAAAAAGGGAGGAACGACAGUUGUCCAAAAUGUUAAAAAUGAAUUAAUACCCCAAGAACUAUCACUGGAUGGCGAAUGUGCAUAGAUUAUAGAAAACUCAACAAGGCAACAAAGAAAUAUCAUUUUCCUCUACCUUUCAUUGAUGGGAUGCUACAACGUUUAGCCAAUCAUUCUUUCUUUUGUUUCCUUUAUGGUUAUUCAGGAUAUCACCAAAUCCAUAUCCACCCUAAUGAUCAAAGCAGAACCACUUUUACAUGUCCCUAUGGAACUUAUGCUUAUCGUAGAAUGUCUUUUGGGUUAUGUAAUGCACCCGCUUCUUUCCAAAGAUGCAUGAUGUCUAUAUUUUCUGAUAUGAUAGAAAAAAUCAUGGAAGUUUUUAUGCAUGACUUUUCAGUUUAUGGAAUAACUUUUGAUGAUUGUUUAUAAAAUUUAGAUAAGGUUUUGCAAAGAUGUGAAGAAAAACUCUUAGUCCUCAAUUUGGAGAAAUGUCAUUCUAUGGUUAGAGAGGGAAUAGUGUUAGGACACUUAGUGUCUGAAAGAGGUAUAGAGGUAGAUAAAGCUAAAUUGAAGUAAUCAAACAGCUACCUCCACCUGUUAAUAUAAAAGGAAUCCGAAGCUUUCUUGGUCAUUGUGAGUUUUAUCAUUGAUUUAUAAGAAAUUUCUCACAAAUUGCUAGGCCAAUGACUAUAUUAUUAGCUAAGGAUGUACCUUUUCAAUUUGAUGAUGAAUGCUUAGAAUGAUUUAAUAUUCUUAAGGAAGCACUCACAUCAGCACCAAUCAUUCACUGAGGAAGGAUGGAAGAUCAUCGACAGAUAUCAUUCAUCACCAUAUGGAGGUCAUUAUGGAGCAUUUCGUACACAUUCAAAGAUCUGGCAGUGUGGAUUCUACUGGCCUACAAUGUAUGAAGACAUGAAGCAAUAUAUCAGAAGAUGUGGGCCAUGUCAACAGCACAGAAACAUAAACACAAGAGAUGCCAUGCCACUCACCAACAACCUUCCGAUUGAGCUCUUUGAUGUCUUCGGAAUAGAUUACAUGGGUCCAUUUCCACGAUCAAAGAAGUGUGAGUUCAUCUUGGUGGCAGUUGACUACGUCUCCAUGUGGGUAGAGGCACUACCUUGCAAGCAUGCCGACAACAUCAGUUCAAAGAGGAUGUUUGAAGAAAUUAUAUUUCCAAGAUUUGGAGUCCCUAGAGUAGUGAUAAGUGAUGGAGGAGCACACUUCAUCGACAAACGCUUCAAGCAAUAUCUAUCAAGACAUGGAAUCCGUCACAACGUUGCUACCCCCUACCAUCCUCAGACAAGUGGCCAAGCAGAGAUUUCCAACAAGCAAAUCAAGAAUAUUCUUCAGAAAACAGUCAAUGAGAUGGGAAUGGUAUGGAAUGACAAGUUACCCGAUGCACUCUGGGCAUACCAGACAGCAUACAAGACCCCAAUUGGAAUGUCCCCAUACUAAUUGGUGUACAGGACCAUUCAAGGUAAUCAAUUCAUCAUCCCACGGAGCUAUCACACUUCAAAAUGACGAAGGUAAGUUAUUCAAGGUAAAUGGUCAACGUCUUAAAUUAUUUUUAGAGCCCAAAAAAGAAUUAGAAGAAAUAGACGUAAUCCAUUUCUACCUUCCCAUCGAGAAUUAAAGCCCAACCUUUUUAAUAUGAUGUUUUCGGGCCACACAUAUAUUUUCCUAAUAAGUUUUGCAUCUAGAAACACGCUCGAGGAAAGUGGGCCCCCUGAUGAAGAGGGCGGGCGCCCUGAUGGAGAGGGCAGGCGCCCAAGCACAGGGCGGGCGUCGUGAUGAAGAGGGCGGGCGCCCAGCCCCUGCCCCCUCUCAGUCCCGAUUUCCUCCGUCGCAAUAAACACAUUUAUGGUAAACCAAAUAAUCAUACAGAUGGAAAGUCUCGUACGCACGGCGGCGGGAGUAGCCCGAACAAACCCUAGAGGCACUUUUUGACCCCUAUAUAAAUAGACCCCUGACGUUAGUUUUCAAACACCAAUUUAUUCAAGCCUUCUCUCCUUCUUCAAUUAGAGCUUGCUUAGUUCCUCGCUGCUCCAAUGGCCGAAGAGUUCCACGACAAUUGGGAUGUUGUCCCCUAUGACCUCAACAAGAAGCCCAAGGAAGACCCCGACGCCCGCGCUCUCGUCCCAGCCCACACAGAGCGACACCUAGAAGCCAUGCCAUUACGCCAGUGCAGCUCCGCCCAAUCCUACCAUGCUCAACCAGUUCUCACCGCACCACCGCAGCCCCUACUUCUUAUGGGACCAUCAGCCAAGAAGGAGACCACCAUCAAGGUGCCAGCCGACACGAGGAUCCUUCCACCCACACCCAAUGAGAGGGUCGUCAGAGUCAAGACCAACCGUAGCGGCGAGAUCAGCAGUAUCCGCUACACUACGGAGGAAGAGAGGCCUUACUUUGAGGGGAUUAGAGCAGCCAAAGUCCGUUUCAUCCCUCCAAAGGCAGCCCCAAAGCACGCUCUCAAUGCUCUCGAGACACCUCCUAAGCAUCGCAAGACUAUAGUAGAUAUUGUUGAGGACGUUCGUAGGCUAGACAGGAUCAUCAUAGAGCUCCAGUCCUCGGUUAACGCUAUCUCUAGGCAGCUCUCUAACCAGAACACCAUUAUACUUGGUCUUAGGCAUGAUCUUGCUAGUGCGAAUAAGAAGAUCAGGGAGUUAGAGCGCCGCUAAGUUAUCCAGAUUAGAUCUCGAGGCAAUGCAUCUUAGUUAUUUAUCCUUAAAUUCGGUUUAGAUCUAUUAUUUGCUUCAGUUCAUUACUAGUCAUUUGUAAUAAAUGCCUAAAGAUUAAUAAAGAUUAUUAUUACUAUGUCUUGUGUGUCUCUACUUUAUUUUUAUACAAGAAAGCAGAAAACAAGUAUGGGGGAGAUCCCUCGACAUGCCAAACACACUUCGACUACACCACUCCACGAUUCAAGUACAUACUCUGCACACUUUACACACACAUAUAUAUCUUGGAUUAUGCAGAAUAUUGUCUCUGACAUGAUAAAUUACAAAGAUUAAAAUGUUUCUAAUCAUGAUUAAUCUCACUCUAUGAUAUUUCCUGAAAAUCUGAAAUUAUUAAGAAUCAUUUUAAAACCCUGUGUUACUUAAGUCAUUGUGGAAUGUGAGAUGGUAUAGUAUGAGUACCUUAUUCUCGAUAUCAUUGUUGCUUGGAGAAUUUAUUUCAAAAUCUUCAAAAUUCUAGCUACCAUCCUUAGUGUUUUAUAUGCCUGAUAAACCUAAAAAUAUUAACAUGAUAAUUAUAAAAGCUAUCUGCUCUGUAUUGAGUCUAUUCAAAAUGUGUUAGACCCUUGUUGAGAGAUUUAUCAUGCUACUAAGAUCAAGACAUUAUUUCAGAAAGAUUCACUCUUUCGAAGUAUUAUUGCAUUAGAGGCAUGGGCUAUGCAAAAAUAAGGAUAUUUCGAGGAAAUAAAAAGGAGCAAGUGCUCGACAACCUCACAGAAAAAAAUGGACAAGUGUCCGGCAGUAGAAUUAGAGGUACCUCAGUAUUCACUUAAAAAAAGAAGAGAAAAGAAAGAAAAUGAUAGCCCAUGGUCCCUCUAAUAAGCAAUAUGCCAGUAAGAGUUGACAAGUUUUUAAUUUCCAAAGUCUUUGAUCUAAGAGUAUGGCAUUCUUCUCCUUAGAUCCUGUUCUGAUCAGGCAAUAAAUGCAAAGUAAGUACGCUUGAGAAUUUUUGCAAAAUUAAAACAGCCUUAGUGAGAUAUAUAAAAGAUAAUGAGUGACCUGAGAGAACCUAUGAGGAUAAAGGUAUGCUAAAUUUCUUUUGAAAAAUAUACAAAAGCUCCAAGUAACAAGAUUAAGAAGAAAGAAUCUCUACUCUUGACCAUAUAUUUCCCUGACUACGGUGCACAGUGAAUUUUUACAACACCCUGCAGGUAUGAAGAAAAUGCUUUACAAUGUUUUAACCCCAGAUAUUUUUCUUAACCAUCCUUUUCUCGAGGACAAGUAAAAGCCUAAGUAUGGGGGUAUUUGUUGACGGUUCUUAAGUAUCAAUUUUAAUUAACAAAUAAACAAGGGAAAGGACCAAUAUACAAACAACACCUAAAAUUAGGGUUUGAUCUGACAGAAUUCCACGAGUUUUGUUGUUUCUCUGUUUCUGCAGGGGUUAUCAGGAAAUAAGGAAGAAAGGCCCACAUGUCGGGAUUACAUAGAGAUAUUAACGCACCGCGCAAUUUUCUACCAUCUAGAAGACUCCAGAAGCCAUGGGAACGAACGGGAAGGCGAUCGGGCCCGGGGGUAGGGUGCCCGCCCUUCCCCCUAGGGCGCCCGCCCUGGUGUCUCCACCAAUUGGAGCCAACUUUGCGGAUCACGAUCCACCGAGCUAAAGGAUUAAGGAUAAUCAUUCAAUCAAUGUCGGUUUGAUCCGAUGGCCCACGUUCACCUGAGGGGACUAUAUAAGCAGACCCCCUGGCCCCUGGAGGAGAAGAAGUUCAUCAUAGAGUUGAGAGGUGCCCCCGAAGGAUAACCUUUCCUCUAAAUAGACUUAGGGCUUAGCAUCUAAUGUGAGAGUAGACUAGAUCUACUAGAUUGAGAGAGAUAGAGUGGAGGUGUAGAUCGGAGGAAGCCCGGCCUGUCGGUGUCUACUCCGAGGUUGUACCUGCGGGAUCAAGUUCUCCUAACCCGAAGCUUGUUCCUAGCAUUCUUCAGUAUUUCGACUUCUAAAUUCUAGUAAGUUCUUGUUUUAUUGUUCUUUGGUUUAUGAGUUUAAUUUGGUCUCUUCUUGUAGAGUUUAGAGUAAUCAUCUAUAGCAUAAACGUGGUGUUUGGGCUAGGAUACUCAUAGAUAUCCCCUGACUAGCUGGAUCGUGGUAGUAGCGAGGAACGUGAUAUUUCCAAGUUACCUUUGCAGCCCAUAUCCCGUUAGUAGGAUCGAUAGGGUUUAUAGGUGCGAGUUGAACAUCCUCUGUGGUGUCUAGAUUCAGUCAGCCUCCCCAACAGAACAGUAGAUCAUCCUUACCAAGGUUAGAAAGAGAUUACGGUUGUAGUCUUCUCUAUACAUGGCUCACAUCGAGAAACAUUCUUUGUAGCCUAAAGGUUAGUAGUAAUAGACCGGGUUAGUCAGAUGCACUCUUUCUCCUAGUGGUAAAAAUAUAAAUACGAUACUCUGGAUAAUAUCCCAAGUGAAGUGCUCACCGAUAUCCGUGCGCUUGCGGAUCAAUUCCAUAUUGUGUUCCCAAAUAUCAACACAUUGCACAACCCGAACGACAUUCUUCUGUAUUAUGCAUACGUUCCAUAUGGGCAUGUGAACAUAGUUUUUCUUUGAUCAUCUGGAUGGAUGGGAAUUUGGUGAUAACCAGAAUACCCAUCGAGGAAACGGAAAUAGGAGUGUUUUGCCAAUCGUUCCAACAUCUCAUCGAUGAAGGGCAAUGGGAAAUGAUCCUUUUUCAUUGCCGCGUUAAGUUUUCUAUAAUCAAUACACAUUCUCCAUCCUGUGACGGUACGUUGAGGGAUAAGCUCGUUCUUAGCGUUCUUAACUACCGUCAUUCCUCCAUUUUCCGGAACCACUUGGACGGGACUAACCUAGUCGCUAUGUGGUACGGGAUAAAUAAUCCCGGCGUGAAAAAGUUUGAGGACUUCCUUUUUCACGACUUCCCUCAUCGCAUUAUUGAGCCUGCGCUGUGGUUCACGUGUGGGCGUGCUUACAGGGUCAAUAGGUAUAUGAUGGGUACAGAGUGUUGGGCUAACCCCCUUGAGGUCUUGCAAGGAAUACCUGAAGACCGACCUAUGCUUUUCAAAAACAGCGAUGAGUCGAGAGGUUUCGUCCUCAGAAAGUUUAUCACUAAUGAUGACGGGCGUGUUUUUGUCACCAUGAAGAAAAGCAUAUCUUAAUCCUUUGGGUAUUGUUUUUUGCUCAACUGGAGGUGGAGUCGGCACUUCCUCCUUAGGAAGUUCGAGGAUUUCUCCUGUGUCGUCCUCUUCUUCUAUAAAGAAGUUAGAGUCAUUUUCUAAGGACGUCUCAGGAGUUUCGAAUGGCAUUACAGACAUAACCUCCUCAGGCAUAGAAGAAUAGGGAGGUUCUGCUAUCGAGUCUAGCUCAAGAGAAUGGGAUCGAAAAUUUAUUCUUCCCUAUCUUUACAUCUAAUCCCCCCUUGUUAGAGGCAUCGUAAAAGAAUGUCUCUAGGGGGUGCCCGAUCAGCAUAUCGAAGCCUAUGCCAUCAAAUAUAUGAAAAUCUAGAGUCAAGACAACAUCUCCAUGCCGAAUGUUCACGUUGUAAACCACUCCUUGUCCCUUUUUAAUGGACCAUGGUACAUCUCUAAAAGACAAGUUGGUAGGAGCUAAAGUUUUAUCACCAAGAUCGAUGAGUGCAAAGCCUGAGGAGACUAUGUUUGCCCCUACUGUGGGGUUAUACAACGUCUCUGCCCAAUCAUCCUCGAUCUUACAGUGAAUGGUUCGUGAAGGUGAGCAAAUCUAAAUUACUUCAGAUGAAGACUCUCUUUCAUUCAUCCAUUCAUUGCUCAUGAUCGCUAACAACUCCUUAACAGAUUCUUUAAGGGAAUCAAGAUCAGAUUCUAGAGUGACACGAACAUGAUUGAUCUUCUUUUUAUUAUACUUCAAAUAAUUACUGAAAUCGUCAAUGAACUCGUCAUCGAAGCAUGGAAGGGCAUAGGGUAGAGGGUUCUCUCUUAGCUCAUCUGGUUCGGGUGUAGUUUUGUGUGUGAAUGAUCCUCCCACGGACGUGUCAAGCAUUAGGGCAGAUUCCUUGUAAAGCCCUAACCAAAAGUGCUGUAAUAACACAUGGUUGGGGAUAGACAAGUCUGGGCCAGAUUUGGUCAAAGUUGUGAAUCUGUCCCAAGCUGCUCCUAGGGAUUCCUUCUCUUCUUGAAGGAAGUUGAGAAUCUCUUGACGUAGGUGUUGACGGUCCUUAAGUAUCAAAUUUAAUUAUCAAAUAAAUAAAGAAAAGGAUCCAAAUGAAAUCAAGAUCUAGACUUAGGGUUUUAUCUGACAGAAUUCCACGAGUUUUGGUGUUUGUCUAUUUCUGCAGGGAGUUAUCAGGAAAUAUGGAAUAAAGGCCCACAUGUCAGGAUUACGUAAAGAUAUUAACGUGCUGCGCAAUUAUCUUACAUCUAGAAGACUCCAGAAGCCACGAGACCGAAGCGGAGGCGAAACGGGGCCAGACCCUGGGCGGCCGCCCAGUUGGUCAGGGCGCCCGCCCACCUCUGGAGUCCAAUCAGGACUCUGCUUUGCGGGAAGUCUCCACCGACCUAAAGGAUGAAUCUAAACCAUACAAUCUAUGUCGGUUUGAUCCAAGGGCCCAUAUUCACUUGCAGGGACUAUAAAACCAGACCCCCUGGCCCCAGGAGGAGGGAGCCUCUCAACCCUAAUUCAUUGUUCCAUCAAGGGAGAAGAAGCCUCUGAUCAAGAUUAGAGCCACCACAUCAAUUAGAUAUCUAGAUUAGCAUAGCUACAUAGGAUUAGAACUAGAAGGAGUCAAUCUUCGAUUGGUUUCCGGAUCUGUCAGGAGGAUUCUUGGUAAUUCUCUAAUUGUGCUUCUAAUUGCUUUCUAAUUAUCUUUGUUCUUCAAUAUUAUGAAUAUGACUUUGUUCUACUUCAAUAUAUUGCUUAUGACUUUGCUCUACUUGCUUAUAUUCAAGAUUAUAUUGUUCUUAGUUUAUCAUAGUUAUGUACUUGGCUUAGUUAGAUACGAUCUAUAUACAUGCUUAGGAUCGUAUAGCGUUUAUCCAUCGGAUCCAUGGGUAAAUGAUAGAUAUUGUGUAGGCGUGGUGCUUAUACCGUAUUUAUCUGCGAUUGUACCCAAUAUGCCAGAUCGUGGGGUAGUUCGUGAUAGUGACAGCUUCAUUGAUUCUUAUAUAGUCCCCCUCUCGUGUAUUGGGCUGGCAGAGCAACAUUAUUACAGGGGAGUGAUUGCUAUGUUUCUCAUAUUCCUUGCUAAUAUCACUAUGCAUGGGCGUAGUCUUGUCUCGCAAUGAUUGCUAAGUAUGCUUGCACUAACUAUGAUAUGCUAGACUAUAUAGUUGAGAAUAACUUAGGGAAUAUUCUUGUAGUUCCUUCUAAUACCUUGCUAAUGACUUUCUAGAGUAUCUAAUUGAGGUGCUUAUCAUAUUUAUUAUGUGGCUAGAUCAGAUUAGUUAUCCUUGUCACUAUUAUCAUUUCAUAUAUCUUUUAUGUGACACUUAUCCCUGUAUGAUGAGUUAGAUAUAAUGUUCUCAAUUAUACAUGCAAUGAUAGAUGCUCAAUCUCAUAUUCUAUUCUGUAAUCAAUAGUGAUGAUUGACUAAUCCCUUCCCAGUGGUAAAAAUAUAAAUAACGAUACCUGGAAUACUUCCCGGUUAAAAUGCUACAUCGGUAUUAAUCUGUGCGCUUGCAGAUCCCAUUCAUUAUUUAUUUAGAAGAGCAAUUGCAUAUUUCAAUACCGCGUCUCUUAUAUCAUGCUGGGGAUGACAACUUGGCUUAAGUGGUGUGAGGGAUAGGUUUGGCAUUUUUGGCACCGUUGCUAGAUUUAGAACUUAGUCUACUUUUAGUAAUGAUGUUAAGAAUACCCAACAAGCAUUUUUGGCGCCGUUGCCGGGGAAGGUUGAUUACCAAUCAGGAAUAGAAUAAAAGAUUUAGAGUAAUCAUUCGCAUCACUAAUAUGAUUGAGCUUAUCUAUUCUCUCAUACAGUUUUACCCCGAUAUUUUUCUAUUUUAUCUUAUGCAGGGGAAUGUAUGAAUAGAAGACAUCUUCCAGGGAAUUUUGUUGACAAUCCUGAAGCAUUAUUCAAGAAGACGAGGGCCAAGCUAAAGAAAUCAUCAACACUUCAGCAAGAAGCUUCAUCCAAUCAAGAAGAUCACCGGAACUUGUCUUCAGAGUUCGAAGCCAUGGCAAACAAAUCAAUCCGCGAGUUCUCAGCUCCCACUACGGACAACAUCCGCACUGGACCUGCUGCAGAGAUCGAUGGCAACUUUGAGCUCAAGCCUGGACUUAUCAACAUGGUGCAAUCCAACCAGUUCUGUGGGAAGGCACACGAAGAUGCUAGUGCUCAUUUACAACACUUCCUGGAGAUUUGCAACACAUUCACCAUAGCAGGAGUUUCCAAAGACGCUAUACUACUUCGCCUCUUCCCAUUCUCACUAUUAGGAAGAGCGAAGCAGUGGUUCUACGCUACAAAGGAGAAGAAUACUACGUGGGCACUCUGCUCAACAAACUUCCUGGCUAAGUUCUUUCCCAUGGGCAAGACCAAUGCUCUCCGUGGGAAGAUUACAAGUUUUCAGCAACAAAAUGAUGAAUCUGUUCCAGAAGCAUGGGAGCGCUUUCAAGACUACAUCCUAGAAUGUCCCCAUCAUGGAAUGGAGAGUUGGCUAUUGAUGCAGACAUUCUAUCAUGGGCUCAGCAACAGUGCCCGAGAGACUAUGGAUGCUGCAGCUGGAGGAGCAUUCUUAUCACUUACUAUACCACAAGCCACAGCUCUUGUGGAGAAGAUGGCGUCCAAUCAAAGCUGGAAUGAAGAGAGGACCCAGAUACGCAAGAGAGGUGGAGGUAGGCAUCAGCUGAAGGAGGUAGACAUGCUGUCUGCAAAGCUAGACCUGCUCAUGAAGAAGCUCGACGAUAGAGCUGGAGACAAUAAAGAAGUUAUGCACAUCUACGACUCUCACAUGACUUGUGAGGAGUGUGGAGACACUGGACACUCAGGCAACCACUGCCUUGAGAUACUUGAGGAUGUGAACUACAUCAACAACAACAACAACUACUACAACCGUCCUCAACAAAAUCAAGGUUGGAAUCAACAGAGGCCUAACUACUCAGGUAAUUAUCAAGGUAACAAUUCUUUCAACAAUAAUAAUAAUUUUCCACCUUUGAGAGAGUUAGUGUCUAAUCAAGGUAAGCUAAUGGAUAAUCUAUCUAAGAAAUUGGCAUCUAAUGAUAAAAUACUAGAAAAUAUAAAUAAUAGAAUGGAUAAUUUUUCUACUGCCAUCAAGAAUCAAAUUAGCUUUAAUAAAAUGAUUGAAUCUCAGUUAAAUCAAAUAGCUGCUGCUGUUCCUACUACUAACCCCAGUAUACCAUCACAACCGGAAGGAUUAGAAUCUGCAAAUUUUGUAGACAUGUUUGAUGCAGGUAAUUGGAGUAACCCCGUCACUGAAUUCUCUACUGACCUUAUGCCGGUCAAGAGAGGCGAUCCAGGACGCCCCGUCAUCCCGAUCUCCAUCGGCAUGGUGGAUGUCCCAGAAGCACUCUGUGACUUUGGCUCCGGUGUCAACAUUAUACCCAGGGUACUCUAUGAAAAGUUCUUUACAUAUCCUUUAUUAGAGACAACCAUGUGUUUGCAGUUUGCAGAUCAGACGAUAACUUUUCCAAAAGGAAUAGUGAGGAACCUUUGUGUCCGAGUUGGUACCUUGUAUGCACCAGCAGACUUCGUAGUGGUAGAGACCGGAAAUGAUGAGAGAGCACCUAUCAUCCUAGGGAGGCCAUUUUUGAACACCACGGGAGCUAUCAUCUACGCCAGUGCUGCUAAGAUCAGUUUCUACGUCAAAAGGAAGAAGGAGAUAUUUUUCUUCAAGAACAAGACUACACAAAUUCAAGAUCAAUCCAGACGUAAAUCAAGGAAGAGGACCAACAGGAGAAACAGGAACAAGCAAGUGUGGACCGAGUCAGCUAAGAUGGUCACUGUAGUCCAUGGAGGCCAAGAUCAUCAACUUAAGUCGCCGUUUUUGACCAAGAAAGACGACCCAGGAAUGCCAAGCAUCUACUGCUCCAUAAAUGGAUAUAACUUCUACAAGACGAUUUGCGACACCGGAUCAGGCGUCAACAUAAUGGCCGCAGUCACCUAUCGGCUCUUGUUCGGAACCAUGCCACUAAGACCAACAUACAUUUAACUCCAGAUGGCAGAUCAGACAUUUCGAGAAGUUAAAGGAAUAGUAUCUGAUGUCCCAGUCAAAAUAGACGAUCACUUUGUCUACACAGACUUUCAAGUUGUUGACAUGGGAGAAGAUGAAUAUGAUCCACCCAUCAUCCUUGGAAGACCGUUCCUCAGCACCGUUAAAGCAAUUAUCUAUAUUGGAACCGGAGAAGUCCAUAUGCACUUCCCCUCAGAGAAGGUACGCCGUUAUUUUACUGACCCUGACUAUAUCGUUGAAGAAUCUAAGCAGGUCAGAAAGAGACGCAACCGCAACCAGAGGAGGCAGAUCAUCAAGGACGGAUGGGCAGACUAUGAAGGAGAAGUUGUAAGGUCAGAAGACGUAGAGUUUAAACAGAAUUAUCCAGAGGAGAUUGAAGCACCGAGUCAGGUAUGGAAAAUGAAGAUAACUAUACAAGAAGAGGAGGCGCUGCCGGAAGUACCGACUACGCCACCCAACGAACCUCAGGACGAUUAAGAAAUUGGAGAGUCCCGUUCGGAGUACUUAAAAACACCAAACGCCUUGCCAAGAGGUAAACUUGGUAGUUAUCCUUUCCCUUUCAAUUAUUUUAAAUAGUUUACUUAGAUAAACAUGCUCAUACUGUCUUAAAAAGAAAAUAAAAAUGUGAAAAAUAGUAAGCCCCAUGUGAAUAGACGAGUGGCAUAAAACCCAUACGUACAUUCACUGUGGUGGCAUAAAAAUAAAAUAAAUAUUUUUCUGCUUUAUAAAAUAAAAAUAUAAAAACAGGGAGUAAUAAUUAUUAAGGAGUCUCAAGAUGAUAAAGGCUAGAUAUUUAUGCUAACACUUAAUCAGUUCCACAAGCUUUGUUGUCUAUUUGAGCUCCACAGAAUUUAAGAAUUCAAGAAGACUAGCAGACGGAGGACAUUCUAAUCGCUGUCAGAAUACUGCUGACUUUCAACUACACCUCUGCCACCUGCUAGCUAUAUCAAGAGAAAUUACGUCAAAAUUCAGCUUGGGGGAGAGCACCCCCAUUUAUUCCGAUAAGUAUUUUUAUCUAUCUUUAUACUUAUAUUAUUUUAGAAUAUUAAAAUACACAUAAACUAUGGGAAAACCAAAUAAAGAUUUUAUGCUUAUAUAUAUUUAUUACUUAGUGUGUUUAAUUAAUAAGUAAAGUGGCUAUGCUAAUCUGUAUCUAAUAAAACUUAAGCAUGGAUAUGAUGAAUAGUUGCUCUGCCUAAUUUGCACAUUUUAAGUUCUCUCUCAAGUUUAGACAUAACUGUUAUAAUUUAAAGCUUGCCCUAGACCUAAACUUGUGGGAUGAAAACUUGAUCUGAAGUCUAAGUUGUUAACGGAUACGAUAUGGAAAGGCUGAGCUGCUGUUUAUCUGUUCCUAGAGAUGCUAGAAUUCUGGAGAAUUUUAUCUUUGAAAAUCUUUAAAAUGUUGCAUGAUGAGUUCCUGUAUGAUGAGAGUUUAAAUUCCUACCACAGCCAUAUAUACAUGCUUGCUAGACCUUGAGCCACGCAUUUACUAUUUACUGCUUAUGAGCAUUGAGUAUGGUCAAGCUGUGUAGACCCUUAGGAGCUUGUCAUGUGGUUAAAUCAAGAUUUCACUUGCACGUUCACUCAUAUAUGCUACUUCUACUCCGGAAGUACCAUCCACAUAUAUCCACCCAUUCCAUCUCCAGAACCACCUAAAAAUAUUCUACUCCUAAUCCGGGAGAGAAUAACCAAAAAUAUUUCUGUUUUCCCUUGUGAAAUAAAUGCUCAAGUUAUCUUGUUACUACCACUUGCUAUAUUAUCUCAAGAGAUGAGUGCUCUAAAAAAAAGAAGAAGAAAAUAAUACGAGGAAAUAAAAAGGAGCAAGUGCUCGGAACCUCGAAAGAAAAGAAAAAGUGAGACGAGAGGUAAAAAUGGACAAGUGUCCGACAGUAGAAUUAGGGGUGCAAGAUACCCACCUGAGAGAAAAGAAAAAGAAGAGCAUCUCAUUCUCCUCAUAAAGUUUCAAAAGCAAGGAAGGUAUGUAUCCCCUCAAAAGAGCAAAGUAGAAUUAGACUUUCACCACCAUUGUUUUCACCAUUGUUAUCACCAUCAUCACCAUAUACCAUUCAUUCGCCACACAUGCACAUCUUGAUUAAACUUAUUGACUUGUUACUUUGGAUCCAUGGUUUGACUAUGCAAUAAAUGUCUUGUAAGUAUGUAUAUUUUAUCUCCCACCUAUGAGCUCCAGAUAUUAAAGCCUUAUUAGAAUAGAGUGAGAGAGAAGACAAUGUCACUAUGCCUUAUACCCCAAAUACCACAUAUCUUGAGAGAAGGCAUAUACCAUCAAUGCCUUGGUAAGGAUCCAAAAAUACCACAAAAGAGAGACCUGAGAGAAUCAUACAAGGAAUUCUGAGUUUUAUUUGAAAAUCUGCAAAAACCCCA